AUAUUUAACAACGCAAAGUUGCUAGGAGUUGGUACCAGCGUUUGGGAGGUAGAGGUGGCGCUCAUGCAUAUUUGAGACAACAUCUGGAUGGUUGGGGAGAACGGUAAGGAGGAAGCGGCGCGCAUGCGUAUUUCAGACGGAGUGCCGGGGAGGGGAGGCGCUCAGCAUUCGGGUAAUUAAGGUUGCAAAAUGGCGAGGGGGGAGGUAAGCUGUCUUUGCUUGGCCAUCUUGGGCUAGCAGGCCUUGCAGAGAACUACCUUUUUAGCUGAGUGAAGGGAUCAACCUGAGUUGGAGUUCUCCUAUGCUGUGGCCAGAUCCACUAGAAAUUAACCCAGAAUCUUAGCCUCUCAGUGGCCUAUCGGUGAUGCCACACUCAAUCAGAAACUAUGCUACUGCUGAAGAGGUAUAUUGAGCCCUGCCUGGUUAACCUCCAGUGAGGUUAUUAGAGAAUUGGGAGAGGCUCAAAUCAGCAUCCUGCACCUAGUUAUCAAACCAUUGUGAAGUCUUGAUUCCUGGAUGGCCAGAAAACUUGUCAUUGGUCAAGAGCAACAUUAAGAUCUGCCUGUUACUCAUACUGAUGCUUCCUGCCCAGCAAGUUCAUCAGAGGGCGAGGAUGAAUUACGGUUGCCAUGAAUGUCCUUGUGAGGCAGUUGGGAAGCCUUGGCUGGAUUGUGAAGGAUAUUUGAAAAGUAUUUUAGAGUCCACCAGAUCAUCCAUGUGAGUGACCAUGCAGCAAAAGAAGGAGGGUCCUCUCAGUGAUUAAGGUAACAUAGUGAUUAAGGUAAGUAGGGAAAGAGAGGCUUACUUUGCCCUGAUUCUUGUCAGGGAGGCUCUUAGAGAUGCCAUUUCCAGAGCAUAAGUGACAGGCCAGCAUUUUCAAAGCUUGCAACUUAUUCUAUAAUAUAUCCUUCUUAAAACAAUUCAUGUAGAUUAUAUGCUCACCCAGUCUGGGAUCACUCCUGCAGAAGAUCAGAAGAACUGAAAUAUAGGUGACAUAAGCUCCUGCUUUUGUAAAUGUUUUGUUGAAACACAGUUGUGUUCAUCCAUUAUUGUCGAUGGCAGCUUUCAUGCUACAGCAGAGUUGAGUAGUUGGGAGAGAAACCAAAUGGACCAUAGAGUUUGAAAUAUUACUGUCUGGCCCUUCACAGAAAGUUUGCCAAUUCCUGGCAUAGGUUAAAUAAAUGUACUAUAUCCACAAAUCCUCCUCUCCCCAUUUUCCUUUCAAUGGGACUUGCAUUUACAGUUGAUCCUAGAAUGUAUGGAAUCUCAUAGUAAUCAGCUUGCUUCUGAAUUUCUUCCCACUCAAAUUAAGCUCACUCAGAAAGCACAUUCACAAAUUGGGCUACAUAUACAGAAGGAGCUAUGUUUUAUAUGCCUCACUGUAGUCAACUCAUUUAUCCUAUAUGUAUGGUUCCCCCAUUUUUUCCUUCUUUUCAGGGGUAACUUUUAAACUUGAGCCAUUCAUGAGUAUCCAAAAAGUUACAACUUAUGUUCUCUAAUUAAGACUUCAUCCUUAUUUUAGUAUACUUCCCCUCUCUGGCUUUUUUGCAUAUUUCUGCAGAUGUCUUGACCUUUCUGGGGAGUAAGCCCCCUUAGAAGAUUAAUUUUCUGUAGUUCUCUAUUGAGGAAAUACAUGACAUUUAGCUUUUUAAUAAUUUGAUGCCAUUCAUUGAGUACCUACUGUGUGCUUUAUGUACCCUGUCUCGUUGAAUUUUUACAAAAAACUGAAAGAGUUAGUUUUGUGUUAUUACUACCUCCAUCUCAAAGAUGAGUCUUGGAAAGCUUAAGUAACUUUAGGUCACAUUGUAAUCAGUGGCAGAACUGGGACUUAAGAACAUAAUUCAUGACUGCAUUUUCUUUUCUUUCUUUCUCUUUCUUUCUCUCUCUCUCUUUUUUUUUUUUUUUUAAAGAGAUAGCAUCUCACUCACUAUGUUGCCCAGACUGGUCUUGAACUCUUGGGCUCAAGCAAUUCUUCCACCUCCGCCUCCCAAAGUGUUAGGAUUAUAGGCAUGAGCCCUCAUGCCUGCCCCUUGCAUUUUCUAUUUAAGUGAUCUUGAAGUUUUUUUUUUUCUUUUUUAAAUCUCGGAAUUUGGCCUUUAGUAAGCAUAGAAUAGCAAAGUGUAAUACCUGAGCUGGGGGAAAAAGUCCUUGAAUUCUUUAGGAAAGACUUAAUUGGUGGGUACAAAGUGAAAUGCUCACUGGAAUCAGGAAUCAGAAACCAGUUCUGAUCACCUAUCCCUACAUAUCCUUCUUCACUCUGCCCUGGCAUAUCAUGGUUGAUGUACAUAGCAAUGAUCAUCCCUUCUGUAAUCCCACUUGACAGUUUAGAAGUGGAUUGAUAAUACUCUUCUGGCUUAAAACCCUUCUUCUCUGGGCAGGUGUGGUGGCUCCUACAUUAUCCCAGCACCUUGGGAGGCCGAGAUGGGAGGAUUGUGUGAGCCCAGGAGUUUGAGACCAGCCUGGGUAACAUAGCAAGACCCUGUCUCCACAAAAAAAUAAAAAAUUAACUGGGCACGGUGGUGCUCACGCCUGUAAUCCCAGCACCUGGGGAGGCCGAGGCGGGUGGAUCACGAGGUCAAGAGAUCGAGACCAUCCUGGCCAACAUGGUGAAACCCCGUCUGUACUAAAAAUACAAAAAUUAGCCAGGCGUGAUAGCAGGCGCCUGUAGUUCCAGCUAUGGGAGGCUGAGGCAGGAGAAUCAGAUGAACCUGGGAGACGGAGGUUGCAGUGAGCUGAGAUCACGCCACUGCACUCCAGCCUGGUGACAGAGUGACACUCCGUCUCAAAAAAAAAAAGAAACGAUCACAUCCAGAUGUCCUGUUACUGGAAGGGCACCAUAGUUUAUCCUGCACCUAACACUAAUACACCUACUCUGGGAAUUCUUCUACCUACAACUAUUUAUUUAUCUGAUCCCAUCUGGUAUUAAAGUUCUAAAAGUUAACAGAAUUCUUAAAGGUUCCCAAUGCCUCCCAGAAACCCCAUCAUCUCAAAAUCACUAGCUAUUAAAAGAAGCAAAAAAAAAAAAAAAAAAAGGUGGCUCCUGACCUAGUCUCUUUGAGUAUGAAGACCUAUUUACUAUGUAAAGCUGUCACCUGCCUUGAAAAGAUUAAGACAGCAAGAAAGUUCUUAGAAAGUGGGUAUGUGGCUGGCCUCAGAUAAGGAUAAAUUGCUGAGAAGAAGGAGUUGGGUUUUUUUUGUGUUUUUUUGUUUCUUGUUUUUGAGACAGGGUCUUGCUCUAUCUCCCAGGCUGGAGUGCAAUGGUGCGAUCACAGCUCACUGCAGCCUCAACCUCCCAGACUCAAAUAAUCCUCCCUCCUCAGCCUCCCAAGUAGCUAGGACUACAGGAUGCACCACCGUGCCCAUUGUUUCUAUAUCAGGGUCUUAUAAUAUGGCAGACACAAUGGCCUCCCACAGAGAAAUGAGCCAUAAAAGGACCCUGUAAAAGCAAGGAUGGCUCAUUGUUUUAAGACAGCCAAAUGUAUGGCACUUGGAGAAUUUCAAAGAGUAGAAGGCCUUCUUGAUUGCACUCCCCUUUAACAGCCUUGCCUCUUAUGGGGCUAUGUGGAUCGUUGAAAUGGUUCACAAGUAAAGUGAAAAAUGGUUAUGCGUAGUGUGUCAGCCCCACCCUAAGCUCCCAGAGCCUCCAUUCUGAGUACAAAGGUCAGUUUUCUUCUCGGGACAGGCCAAGGAUGAUGGGGUUUUAAUUUCUCUCCUGAUCCAUGGCAAAGCAUUCCUAAACUAGGCACUGGAAGUCUUGGUAACUGGAAAGAGACAUUCACCAAGAUGAGGAAGGCCAAAACCAAGUGCCUUAUAUAGUCCCUAGAAAGCAUUUCAUUUUAUGGAACAAUCUUUGGUCUCUCUUUUUUUUUUUUUUUUUGUGAGACAGUGACUCAGGCUGGAGUACAGUGAUUAGGUCACUGCUCAUUGCAGCCUCAACUUCCCGUGCUCAGGUGAUCCUCUCACCUCAACUUCCCGAGUAGUUGGGACUGCAAGCAAGCGCCACCAUGCCCAGCUAAUUUUUUGUAUUUUUUUGUAGAGACGGGGUUUUCCCAUGUUGCCCAGGCUGGUCUCAAACUUCUGGACUCAAGCAAUCCACCUGCCUUCGCCUCCCAAAGUGCUGGGAUUACAGGUGUAAGCUACCAUGCCCAGCUCUGGUCUCCUUUCUUAAUCCUGUUGAAUAAGGAAGAUUUUUUUUAUCUGAACCCUCCUCUUACUCUUCUUUCUGUUCUCCUUCCAUGAUCACUUUGUCCAUCUUCCUCUUUGUCAUAGGCAUGUCCUAUUUCUAAUUCCCUUUCUCUUUUCUUUGGUAGGCUAGCCUUCGAGACUGCAUUACCCUCCCCAACUUAAAAUCUUUUGAUAACCCAGGCAGCUGGGUUAUCCCCAAUUUAAAGUCUUUUUGUUGUAGCUGUAUGGCAUUUAUCUAGAGCAUGGGGUACACACAGUAGGUUUCUCUCCUCUCUUUUUUAACAUAUUUAUUAUGUUUAUGCAUGUAAAGAGUUUGUUGUUGGCCAGGCCUGAUGGCUCACGCCUCUAAUCCCAGCACUUUGGGAGGCUGAGGCGGGAGGUCAGGAGUUCGAGAGCAGCCUGGCCAACGUGAUGAAACCCUGUCUCUACUAAAAAUACAAAAAUUAGUGGAACAGGGUGGCUCAUGCCUGUAAUUGCAGCUACUCAGGAGGCUGAAGUAGGAGAAUCACUUGAGCCUGGGAGCUGAGAUCGUGCCAUUACACUCCAGUCUGGGUGACAGAGGGAAACUCUGUUUCAAAAUCAACAACAACAAAAAAAAGUUUAAAAAUUGGAAACCACCAAAAGGUAGUAUUAAAAGGGAAAUAAAAAUUACUCAUAAUCCCAGAACGCAGUCAUAUGCUAUUUUUAGUCUUAUUUUAUUCAGCCAUUUUUCUCUUUACACAAACUUUUUUUUUUUUUUUUGAGAUGGAGUCUCACUCUGUUGCCUGAGCUGGAGUGCAGUGGUGCGAUCUCGGCUCACUGCAACCUCCGCCUCUUGGGUUCAAGCGAUUCUCCUGCCUCAGCCUCCUGAGUAGCUGGGACUACAGGCGACCGCCAUUACACUCAGCUAAUUUUUUGUAUUUUUAGUAGAGACGGGGUUUCACCAUGUUCACUGGGCUGGUCUCGAACUCCUGACCUCAUGAUUCGCCCACCUCGGCCUCCCAAAGUGGUGGGAUUACAAGCAUGAGCCACUGUGCCCUCCCUACAGGUUUUAAAAUUUAUUAUUAUCUAAAUAUUCAUUUUAAAUGUUAAUUUUAGUGUACUUCUUUGAUUAUUUUCUUUAGAGAAAUUUCUGAUUUCAGAACCAAGUUUAUUAGCAUUCACUGUAUACAUUAGCACCAUUAAAACUAGCUAGACCCAAGAAGCAGUAUUGAAUGGGUACCCCUUCUUUACUUUCCUCUGAUUCACUCUACUCUGGUGCUCACAGCUAAGUAAGUAUGUACAGCAAUGGCCUGUCAUUUGGUCGAUUAUCUUUUGUGCUCUGAAAUGUCUUUGUUUUUUCAUCUGCUCUCAAUACCUCUGUGCUCUGAUCCUUUGUAUAUAAGGGUAACCAUAUUUGUUCUUUCCUGUGAAAUAAUAAUUCUUUUCCUUCCAUUCAGAGUAGCUGCCUGACUCAUACAAUGAAUAAAGUCACAUAGACUCAAAGAGUGGAGAUGGAGGUCGGAUGUGGUGGCUCGUGCCUGUAAUCCCAACACUUUGAGAGGCUGAGGUGGGAGGAUCGCUUGAGCUUGAGCACAGGAGUUUGAGAUCAGUCUGGGCAACGUAGUGAGAUCUCAUCUCUGCCAAAAAAUAAAAAUUAGCUGGGUGUGGUGGUGCAUGGCUGUAGUCUCAUGUAGUCCCAGCUACUUGGGAGGCUGAGGUGGGGGGUCACACAUACUUUUUGUUGUUACUGCUUCAUCAUUGGUUCUGAUCACUCAGUGUUCUUUCCCUUACACCAGAUCAUAAUACAGUAUUCUGACUAGGCAACUUAGCUCAGUUUAUUACGAAUAGCCUUAAUUAAUUUGGUAAAUUACUAUGAAUGAACAUUUCAUUCAUUCUGCUAGGUCUAGGUUUUGCCAGCUGUUCCAUUAAGGGACACUAUGGCACGGGUUGGCAAACUUUUUCUGUAAAGGGCUAGGUAGUCUCUCUAUUCAACUCUGCUGUUGUAGCAUGAAAACAUCCAUAGACAAUAUGGAUACAAAUGAGCAUGAUUAUGUUCUGAUAAAACCUGAUUUACAAAAACAGGUAGUAGGUUGGAUUUGGCCCAGGGGCCAUAGCAUGCUGACCCCUGCUCUACAGUAUACAUACACAAAGACUUUCAAACAAAGAUGUAUACAAUAAAACAACCAUUCAGAGUUAUUUGAUUCACAGUGUGUAUAAUAUAAUAAAAAUAAUACAGCUGUAUUUGAGUCAGCACUGAAAAGUCUCUUGUGAUCUGUGUCUUACGUGCAUGAAUUGCAGAAUAUUCAUACGAAUACCAUGAAUAUUCUUCACGGGCCAUGUUAUUACCAUCCCUUAGAGGAAUCUCUUCCUUGUCGUGGGUCUUUCUUUGUAUGGCUUAGAAGUGAUGUUGUCUUUAUAUUGUGUUAUUUGUUCUUAACUUUACAUUAUCAGCUCUGGUGUGCUUACCUUUUUCACCAACGUGUCUUCUACCCUACUUACCUCAUAAGUGAAUCUAAUACAGAGGUUAUUUUGGAUAUAAUCAUUAUCUUAACAGGCAAGAUAGUGGGCUGUGCUAUUUCAAACCCUAAAUUUGGCUUUCAGGAUUAUGAAGUAUUAAUUCUUCCACUGAUAUCUCAAAAGGUGAUCUGGACAAAGGAACAGGUAUCUCAGGUAAGCAAUUGUUGAAUAUGAAAGUAAAUAUUCUUCUUUGAUCGUUUGUUGUAUUUGUUAUGUUUAAUAGCUUUCCUAAUAAUGAACCAACUUUGCAUUUCUGGAAGAAGAUUCGUACUUUUUUGAGACGGAGUCUUCUUUUUUUUUUUUUGAGAUGUAGUCUCGCUCUGUCGCCCAGGCUGGAGUGUAGUGGUGCAAUCUCAGGUCACUGCAGCCUCUGCCUCCUGGGUUCAAGCAAUUCUCCAGCCUCAGCCUCCCGAGUGGCUGGGAUUACAGGUGUGCAUCGCCAUGCCCAGCUAAUUUUUUGUAUUUUUUUUAGUAGAGACGGGGUUUCACCAUGCUGGCCAGGCUAGUCUCGAACUCCUGACCUCGUGAUCUGCCCACCUCAGCCUCCCAAAGUGUUGGGAUUACAGGCAUGAGCCACCACGCCCGGCCAGAUUCAUAGUUUUCAAGAAUUUUGAAUUAUAUUUGCUAAAUUUGAUAUUUCAAAUUUUAUUUUCUAUUUUAUUUAUUAUUUUUUUCCUUUAUUUAUUUAUUUUUUUUGAGACAGGGUCUCACUCUGUUGUCCAGGCUGGAGUGUGGUGGUGCUAUCAUGGCUCACUGCAGCCUUGACCUCCCAGGCUCAAGGGAUCCUCCUACCUCUCAGCCUCCUGAGUAGCUGGGACCAUAGGUGUGCACCACCACACCCAGAUAAUUUUUGUAUUUUUCGUAGAGACGGGGUUUCUCCAUGUUGCCUAGGCUGUUCUCAAACUCCUGGGCUCAAGCUAUUUGCCCACCUUAGCCUUCCAAAGUGUUGGGAUUACAGGGUGGGCUACCAUGCCCGGCCUUUUUCUGUGUUCAAAAGUGAGUUGUUUUGCGGGGGAUGGCAGUCUUUUUCAAUUGUUGAUGUUAGGGUCAUUAAUGAAAUCUUUUGUUGCCUAUUGUUUUAAACUGAACCAAUCUCAAAUAUAUCCCAUGCCAUUAAAUAUACUUUAAUAACAUCUUUUAAAAAUUGGCACAUAAUACACCACUGCAUGAAUGUAAAAAUUUAACUUGUAUCUGAUAUUUGGAACCUUGUUUUAAUUACUGCUCUUUUAAUUGUGUGUAAAUAGUGCUACAGUGAAUAACUCUAUAGAUAAAUUUUUGUACAUAUGUGUGUUUUAUUUCCUGAGGUUGGAUAAAAUAUAUGGUCCUUCUAUUAGUGUAUAAGAAUGCCCGUUUUUUUUUUUUAACUUUUUCACCAGUACACUAUGUUAAGGUUUCAGAAGAAUUUGCCAAUUGUAAAGGUAAAAAAUGGCCUUUGAUAUUUUAAUUUGUAUUUCUUUGAUUCCUAACAAGAUAGAACAGAUAAAAAUCUUGGGUCUUAUUUUUGAGUUUAUUUUUCACACUUAGUUUUAGUCUAUCAUAUGUUGCAGAUAUUUCCCCCAGUUUGGCCUAUAAAUUAUUAAUUUGUAUGUAGCUCAAAUAUCUUUUUCUUUAUGGUUUAUUCUCCACUUGCAUUUUAUAAUAGGAAGAUAAAUAUAUUUUUUAUAGUUCAUAAUUCCUUUAUACUUUUUAUUAUUUUUUUAAAUACAAAUCUUUCCCAUUGGGAACCUUUUUGGUGUGUGGUAUGUAACUGAUUUUUCUAAAUGUUCAGCACAUUCAGGGUUUGGGGGGUUGUAGUAAGGGUACUUGUGGAGCUCUCAACAGCAGGACUUUAAAAAUCUUUUCUCCAGUGCUCUGCUUUUAACAUGACUUAAAUAUUCUCUCAGCCUGUUUCAGUUUUCCUGCCAUUGGCUUAUGCUAUCUUCUAUGAGGGGAGUUAGCAAACUUUUUCUAUAAAAAGCCCAGUGGUAAAUAUUUUAGGUUUUGUGGGCCAUAUGGUUUCUGCUCUUGUAGCAUGAAAGCAGUCAUAGACAAUACAUAAAUGAGUGAGUAUGGCUGUGUUCCAACAAAACUAGUUACAGAAAAAGGUAGUGGGCUGGAUUUGGUUUAUUGGCGGUAGUUUGCCAAUACCUGCUUUAUGACACUGUACUCUUACAACUUCUGCUCACCUAGUUUCUGCUUCGUCAUAGUGGGCUUUCUCAUAGUUAUGCCUCUGAUUUUCCCUUGUAACUUCUUAGAAUACCUUCUUCACCUCUCAUCUUUGCUACUGAUUACCUGUUUCCAUAUUUCACAAUUUUAAGUUUCCGAGAGCACAGGCGAUAGCUAAAUUAAGAUGCUUUGCAUGUUACCACUAUUAUGUACUUUGCUUGGCUGUCUACCCUGUUGCUUCAAUAUAACCAAUUCCAAAUAGCUGCAUUCCUUUUGAGGGUCUCUUCCUUGCAAUCCAGAGUUCAUUGCAAGAAAUGGGGUGAUUUGGAUCAUUUUAAGGAAGUUUAUGGAAUUCAACUCUAGUGUGGUAUCAUUAAUGUAAUUAAGCUCUUCUCUCCUUAUGUGUAUCAUGUUGGUCCUACUACAGUUUGGUUUCCUCAUACUCUGUCUUCCUCUAACCUCCUGGUUACUGAAUACUUAGAUUUUUUUUCUCAUUCAUAACUUGAGCUUUUGCAACUACUAUAGGUGUGACCUUCCUUCUACAUUAUCUUUCUCUCUACAGACUAUCGACUUUAGCUCUUGCUACUCUCCAUGUUGCCAAGUUGUCAUUAAACUGAGAAUCUGAUUCCCUGUGGGUUAAGUUUCCUGAGACCGCAGGGAUAGUAGUUGCUAUUUGGCAGGUCUAGGACAUUUCCCCCUACUGAUUACUAUGUGCAAAUGUAUCUCUUUCCCUAUUUAUGAUGCAAAAUUGCUUUAGCCUAACACAAUCCAGCUACUAUAAGUGUAUCCAGAAUCAAGCUCUAAAACUAGAAUGCAACCCAGUCAUGUAGCAUCCAGAAGUACCUGAACCAUCUUUGGAACUUGACAGUUUCACAGUUAACUCUGCAACCUUACUCUCCUUAUAUCCUGAUGCUAUUUUAUAUGCCUGUUAGGUUGUAUCAGAUCUACAUUCUGAUCUAUAGUUUGGAGAUUAUAAUUUUCUAAGCAACCCUUUGUGAGGUCACAGAUACUUUUUGUUUGUUACUGGUUAUAGGCAUUAUUGGUUCUCAUCACUCAGUAUUCUUUCCCUUUUCCCUUACACCAGAUCAUAAUAUAGUAUUCUCUCUCUCUUUUUUUUUUUUUUUGGAAACAGGGUCUUGCUCUGUUGCCCAGGCUGGAGUGCCGUGGUGCAAUCUUGGCUCACUGCAACCUCCGCCUCCCGGCUCAAGUGAUUCUCUCACCUCAGCCUCCCAAGUAGCUGGGAAUACAGGCGUGUGCUACCAUGCCCAGCUCAUUUUUGUAUUUUUUGUAGAGAUAGGGUUUCACUAUGUUACCCAGGCUGUUCUCAAACUCCUGAGCUCAAAGCGAUCUGCCUGCCUCAGCCUCCCAAAGUGCUGGGACUAUAAGCAUGAGCCACCAUGCCUGGCCCAUAAUAUAGUAUUCUGACUUGACAACUUAGCUAAGUUUAUUAGGAAUGUCUUUAUUUAAUUAAUUUGGUAAAUUACUAGGAAUGUAGUAGUUUACAUUACUGCUAUGAACUCCCUUCUUGCUACAUACUCACUUCCUCAUUUCUAUUCUUUAUCCCAUUGCUAAUGGAUAGUUUCUGCUUAUUUAUUUAUUUAUUUAUUUAUUUUUUAACUAAUAGAGACAGGGUCACGCUGUGUUGCCCAGGUUAUUAUUGAACUCCUGGCCUCAAGUGAUCUUCCUGCCUUAACCUCCCAAAGUGCUAAGAUUACAGGCAUGAGCCACCAUGCCUGGCCAGUUUUUGCUUAUUUAUAGCUUCUGACUCCUGUGCCUAUUCCUCACAAGUUGAUCUUAUUUAAAUCUUUCAUGCUUCUUACGUAGCUGUGGUAUGUUCUUUUACCAUGUAUCCAUUCACUUCAGCUGAGUUUCUGUUCUUCUGUUUUUCCCAAUUGCAAAUUUAAUCUAAUUUUCUCACGUCAUCCUUGUUUGGGGAGGGCUUUCAUGUUACAAGUCAUAGGCUGUUGAUCAGCGUGUAGACAUAUGCCUUUGAGUCUGAGCUUUACUUUCCCUUGGUCUGAUCAACUUUGGAUUUGGAGGAGGGGUAGUUGGUCAUAAGAAUGCUUUCUUAGCAGGCUUGUUUGCCUGGCUAAGGAAGUUUUUCUUUAGAAAGAUUUUGGGUGUGGGUAACACUAUGACACAUUCACUCUAUCUGGUUUAGCUCUUUAAAGCUGCUUGAUUGCAGCAUCUACCAAGUCUCUUAAAGACUCACCUUCCCCUGGGUAAAAGUUCUAAAAGUUCCAUGAUAUCACAAGCUGGUUUGCACAACAUCAUCAAAACAAAGAGGAUUCUCUUCAGGUUCGUAGCCAGCUUCCUAAACUGCAUUCCUCUUAGGGGGCUGUUCUGCUUCUUACUAUUGGUUAGGCACUUGUGAUUGCUAGAAACAGAUUCUCUGUUGAGCUCACAUAAUGACAGGUUAUUUGCAGGCCACCUGUGGGGAAAUAAUGGUGACUUGGAUCACAUGCAGUUUCACAUACAGGUGAUCUUUUGUGUCUGUGUGUUUCACAUCUGUGGAUUCAGCCAUCUGUGGAUCAAAAAUAUUUGGCUAAAAAAUAUGGAUGGUUGUGUCUGUACUGAACAUAUACAGACUUUUUUUAGUUGUUAUUCCCCAAACAAUAGAGUAUAACCACUAUUUACAUAGCAUUUAUAUCGUAUUAGGUAUUAUAAGUAAUCUAGAGAUGAUUUAAAGUAUAUGAGAGGAUGUGUAUAGGCUGUAUGCAUUUACUAGAAUAUUUUAUAUAAAAGAUUUGAAUAUCUGCGGGGGAUUCUGGAACCAGUUCCUCUGUGGAUACCAAGGGACACCUGUUUAGGGGGACCUUAAUGUGAUUAUGCCUGUUAGGGAUGGGAACUGGAUUCAGAGAAGCUCUAGAAAACUCAGCAGCCAGAGCUUGUACAUCUUUCCAUUAGCAUUGCGCCAUUUAUUUAACUGAGCUACUUUGUCUCUCUGCGUAUCUUUUUUUUUUUCUUUGAGAUGGAGUUUUGCUCUUGUUGCCCAGGCUGGAGUGCAAUGGCACAAUCUCGCCUCACCACAACCUCUGCCUCCUGGGUUCAAGCGAUUCUCCUGCUUCAGCCUCUCAAGCAGCUGGGAUUACGGGCACCCGCCACCACGCCUGGCUAAUUUUGUAUUUUUAGUAGAGACGGGGUUUCUCCCUGUCUUGAACUCCUGACCUCAGGUGAUCCGCCUGCCUCAGCCUCCCAAAGUACUGGGAUUAUAGGUGUGAGCCACUGUACCCGGCCUCUCUGCUUAUCUUUGGUGUCUUAUAAUUUCUGCUUUUUAAAUAUUGGCUCGCCCAUCCACUUUGUUUUUUCUCCAUCUCUCUUUUUUUUUUUUUUUGAGACGGAGUCUCGCUCUGUUACCCAGGCUAGAGUGCAGUGGUAAGAUCUCAGCUCACUGCAACCUCUGCCUCCUGGGUUCAAGUGAUUCUCCUGCCUCAACCUCGAAUACCUGGGAUUACAGGCACCAGCCACCAUGCCUGGCUAAUUUUUGUAUUUUUAGUAGAGAUGGGGUUUCACCAAAUUGGCCAGCCUGGUCUCGAACUCCUGACAUCAGGUCAUCCUCCCGCCUCGGCCUCCCAAAGUGCUGAGAUUACAAGCAUGAGCCAUUGCGCCCAGCCCUCCAUCUCAUAUUUUUAGCCUAUUUAUAGGUUCUGCUUACUUAUGGCUUCAUCUUCCUCAUAAGUUUUGCUUGCUUAUGACCCUCUUGACCUCACCUCUGCAUUGUGUUGGCUUGCUGUGUAUCCUUUCAGCUUCAGUUUCCUUUGCGAACUGUGAUUACUUUUAAUAGCUCGAUUCCAAUUCCUGAAAAGACAAAUUUACUAGGCCUGUUGUAUCCCAGUUUAGUUAAGAUAUUUAUAUACCCACAGCAACAGUUUGUGGAUCUUCACUUUUGUUUUCUGCCAUUAAUAUGAUGAUUACCCUGUUUUGCUGCUUUUACUUUGCUUGUUUCUUAUAGCUUAGCUUAUAAAGUAUCCAUUAACAACUGACUGUUGGACUUCUCUCUCUUUGUUUCAAGGACUGCAAUUGCAAAUGCCUGUAGGAUCCAGAUGCCAUAAAUGUAUAAGAUGGUUCUGGUGUUUUCUUCUUUUCUUGAAACACUGUCUUGUGUGUGUGAGGGGGGUGAUCUUUUGUUCAGUCAUUUUUGAUAGAGACAUUAGAAGAGCGAUUUCUUUAAAAUAUAAACAAGGGUGCAAAUGGGAUGGUAAAGGGCAACUGACGCUACUAGGAGGAUAGUAGGGAGUGUUUGACAUUGUGUGUAAUUGGGACAUACAUAUUUCCUCCAAAAGGGAAGACUUUAGUACUUCUGCUGAUUGUUGCCUAGUGGAAAUGUCUGCCUAAGAUUACCAGUUGUCUACAAAAAGCCUGAUUGGCUUCAGGUUUUUUUUUUUUUAAUUUAGAUAUGAUUUAACGUAUAUGAUAGGAUGUGUAUAGGUUGUAUGCAAUUACUAGAACAUUUUCUAUAAAGGUCAUGAAUAUCUGUGGUGGAUCCUGGAACCAAUGGGGUUGGGAGGGCAGCUUCAAUUGUUUUAAAAUGUUUCAGGCCAACAGAAUAUGCUUAUAAAUGCUUUUAUAACCUCAUAGCUUCUGUUUCUUUAUAGUUUUGGCUUAUUUGUAAUGUUUCCUUUUUCUCAUGUGGUACAAAACAUGGUUAUGUACCAUUACCUCUUCAACUCAGCCAGUGGCUUGGCAGUUUCCCUUGUGCAGUGUUUAAAACUGGGCCACAGUUUUGAAUGCAGUUGUGGAUAUUAAAAUGAAAUAGAUUAGGAAAGAAUAGAUUAAGAUAGAAUACAGAUAAGAAAAUAAGAAAAUAUCAGCCUUCAUCUGGCAAAGAAAAUACCAGCCUUCAUCUGGCAAAGGGCAUCAUCAGGCAUCACCAGGAGGUGCUCUGUAUCCAUAGGUUCCCUAUCUGUGGGUUCCACCACCACUGAUAAAAAAUAUUUGGAAAAAAAUACAACAAUGCAAAAUAAUACAAAUUUUAAAAAAUACAAUAUAUUUAUGUGGUGUUUACAUUGUAUUCGUUAUUAUAAGUAAUCUAGAGAUGAUUUAAAGGGACGGGAAGAUAUAUGUAGGUUAUAUGUAAAUAUACCAUUUUAUAUAAGGAACGUGUAUAUCCAUGGAUUUUAGAAUCUGUAGGGAUUCCUGGAACCAGUCUUCCAUGGAUACCGAGGGAUGACUGUAUUGUUCUGUGAAAUUUUUGUCCCAGCUACAUAUUUGUAUGUAUGUAUGUUUUUGGUCCGGUAUAAUUGUAUAAUAUUUCUUACUAUGGGUUAAACAACUUUAUAAGACAUUGUGAGGAACCUGGUAUCCUCUGGACUAGAUCAUUCCCGUAGACAGUUCCAUUGUGCACACAUAGUAUUUCGUUAAAAUCAGGUGACUGUUUAAAAAUUAAAAAGAUUUUAGAUAAAAAUCUAGAUUUUUACUUUCUCCUGAAAUAUCAGAAGAUGGGGUCUAAAUUCACACUGAGGCCAAGCAGUGGUAGGCUCAUUUUAAAGAAGGGCUUUCUGCUCUCUGGUUUACCCCAUUGUAUACUAAUUAGCCUGGUCUUACUUUUAUAUAUUACCUGAAUAGCCACUUAGGGCAUUUUGAACACGUGGCUUGCAUUGCUUUGUCUUUUUGAAAUCCGCUGUGGCAGGCCCAAACCUUGCCUUUGGUGGGCUUAAGUAAGGUCUGGUUUCCAGUACAAAGGCAAAGGCAAAUGAGGAUUAUUAGUAUUCCAUUUUGCCCUAUGGAUAUUCUCAGUGCUUUCUACUGGAAACUCACAACCAAUUCUGAAUAUGCCACAUACUGUGUGAUUUGCCCUUGCUGUCCAACCCUGUUCUUGCUGCCAUUUAAAAAUAAUCAGGCCAGGUGUGGUGGCUCAUUUCUGUAAUCCCAGCACUUUGGGAGGCCAAGGUGGGUGGAUCAUUUGAGCUCUGGAGUUCGAGACCAGCCAGGGCCACAUAGCAAGACCUCGUCUCUACUAAAAAUUAAAAAAAAAAAAAAUUAGCUGGGCAUGGCGGUGGUUCAUGCCUGUAGUCCUAGCACUUUGGGUGCCAAGGCGGGAGGAUCGUUUGAGCUCAGCAGUUCAAGACCAGCCUGGGCAUCAUAGUGAGACCCUGUCUCUAUUUAUAAAAAAAAAAUGAAAAAAAAAAAAAAAAAAAAAAAAAAAGAAAACAAUCAGGCCAGGUGCGGUGGUUCCUACCUAUAAUCCCAGCACUUCAGGAGGUCAAGGUGGGUGGAUCACUUGAGCCCAAGAGUUUGAGACCAGCCUGGGCAACAUAGUAAGACCCUGCCUGUACUAAAAAUUUUAAAAAGCAUUAGCUGGGCAUGGUGGCUGGUACCUGUAGUCCCAGGCUGACGUAGGAGGAUAGCUCGAGCCUGGGAGGUGGAGGUUGCAGUGAACCAUGAUAGUGCCACUGCACUGAAGCCUGAGCAACAGAGCGAGACCCUGUCUCCAAAAAAAAAAAAAAAAAAAAAAAAAGAAUCACGUACGAGGAAGAGGUUGUGAAGCUAUACAUAAGACAAUUGGCAAUCUUGUAUUUCACAAGAAUCUAAUUAGAGAAUUUGGGUGGCCAAUCCCCUCAGCAUAGUAAGGGAGUCAAGGAAGCUUUUAAGAACCUCAUCAGUUUUCUACCUUCCCUGAACAAGUGUCUCUUAUUUGUAACUAAAUUUGUCAGCUUAACAGUAAGCAGUAACUGGUAUUAGACUCAAUUUUUCAACUAGAUUUGUAAUUUGGCACAGUAAUGAAAUCUUAAGCCCAUGCACCUAUUCUGGGCUUCUUGUUUGUUUGUUUUGAGACGGAGUCUAGCUGCAUGCAGCUGGAAUGGAGUGGCACAAUCUUGGCUCACUGCAACCUCUGCCUCCCGGGUUCAAGCGAUUCUCUUGCCUCAGCCUCCCGAAUAGCUAGGAUUACAGGCACACACCACCAUGCCCAGCUAAUUUUUGUAUUUUUAGUAGAGAUGGGGUUUCACCAUGUUGGCCAGGCUGGUCUCCAACUCCUGACCUCAAGUGAUCCGCCUGCCUCAGCCUCCCAAAGUGCUGGGAUUACAGGCGUGAGCCACUGUGCCUUGCCACCUAUUCUGUUUUGAACUUCAUUUUCCUAACAACAUCCUGAAUUACUGAGCUUUUGUAUCACUUCAUGUUAAAGUUUUCAUUCUUAUGUACCAAAGUACUAAUUUGAAUUUGUAAUGAGUCUGAUGGUAUAUUUCAAUUUUUUGCUUUGAGGGACUGGCUGCUACAUUGCAGAAUAUCUUAUAUCCCUGACUGCUUUCCACUAAGUGUCAGUGGUGACCCCAAUCCAAUUAUUAUGACAACUGAACAUGCUUAUGCAUCCCUCAUGCCUUUAUUUUUUAUUUUGGGAAAUCUUUCAGCUUCAGUUUUUGCUGAUAUUUAUGUGAUUCUUUGUUCUGCAAUUCAAAUUUCUGGGAGCCAAACAGUCUCCUUGGUUCAGAUUACUGUUUUUUGACUAGAGCUUCUCACUUCAGAUUCUGUCAUAAGAUUAUGGCUUAACCUAUGGUUGUCCUUUGAUUUGGUGCCAUAUGAAAUAAAACAUUAUUUUCUAUGGCUAUGUAUUAAGAAUUUUGUGCAAUUCUGUUUUUCUUAGAAGGCUGAGGGUGUGUUGUCAGACACCAUGACUGAUGUGACAGGUGUAUUUUAUUAUGCGGCCGCCAGGCAGACAGGCAUUUCUUCAUAUUUAUAUAUUACUUAAAUUUAAUAUUAUUUACAUAAUUUUUUUUUUUUUGAGACAGAGUCUUGCUCUGUCGCCCAAGCUGGAGUGCAGUGGCACGAUCUCGGCUCACUACAACCUCCGCCUCCUGGGUUCAAGCGAUUCUCCUGCCUCAGCCUCCUGAGUAGCUGGGAUUACAGGCACCCGACAUCAUGCCUGGCUAAUUUUUGUAUUUUUGUAUAGAUGGGAGGUUUCACCAUGUUGGCCAGGCUGGUCAAGUGAUCCGCCUGCCUUGGCCUCCCAAAGUGCUGGGAUUAUAGGGGUGAGCCACCACGCCUGGCUAUUUACAUAUUUUUAAACUAGAGCCCCUUAACAUAUUACAAUUUUCAUGUAUGGAAUCUCUAAUGUAUUCACCCCUGCCAGUCUAGAUAGUAACACAAAUUGCUGUCUAGUUCUUGUGUCCCAGAAUGAUGGUAUGGGGUAGCCUGAAGCAUGAGCCAAAUUAAUAGAAACAGAAAGUAGUUGCCAGGGUGUGUCAGGGUUGUUGCCAGGGGCCGGGGGAGGGGGAAAAGGGUCAUUGUUUAAUGGGAAUAGAGUUUCAGUUUUGCAAGAUGAAAAAGUUCUGGAGAUUGGUUGCACAAAAAUGUGAAUAUACUUAAUACUACUGAACUGUAUAUACUUAAAGUGGAUAAAAUGGUAAGAAAAAUAGAGCAACAAUAUUUCACUAAGUAGGCAGUUUACACUGAAUAUCCUUGGGGACAUCAGAAUAUCCUUGAGAAUAUUAAAAUACAGCAUCUUCAAACAAAAGUAAGUUAAAGGACUAUCUUUGAUGCAGCCUCCCAGUUCUCUAUAUCAGGGUCCAGCAAACUGGCCCAAGAGCCAAAUCUGGCCAACCGCUUGUUUUUAUACAGUCUGUGAGCAAAGACUGUUGUUUACAUUUUUUAAUUGUUGAAAAAAAAUCAGAAUUAUAAAACUUAAUUACAUCAAAAUUACAAGAAAUUCAAGUGUCAGUGUCCAUAAAUAAAGUUUUAUUGGAACACAGUCACAUUCAUUCAUUUUUUUUUUUAUUUUGAGACGGAGUUUUGCUCUUGUUGGCCAUGCUGGAGUGCAAUGGUGUGAUCUUGGCUCACCGCAACCUCCGCCUCCCGGGUUCAAGUGAUUCUCCUGCCUCAGCCUCCCAAGUAGCUGGGAUUAGAGGCAUGCGCCACCACGCCCGGCUAAUUUUGUAUUUUUAGUAGAGACAGGGUUUCUCCAUGUCGGUCAGGCUGGUCUCGAACUCCUGACCUCAGGUGAUCCACCUGCCUUGGCCUUCCAAAGUGCUGGGAUUACAGGCAUGAGCCACCGCACCCGGCCUCAUACUCAUUCUUAUGUGUGUCAUGUAUCGCUGCUUUUAUGCUACAGUAGCAGAAUGGAGUAAUUGGGACAGAGACCAUAUAGCCUACAAAUCCUAAAAUAUUUGCUGCUUGGCCAUUAAUAAAACAUUUAAAGUCAGACUAUUACAAAAGUUGCCAGGUCCCUCACAGCAUCAUCUUUGAUAGCUUUAAAUGCCUAAUUGGCAGCCUUGUCAUGGACUAGUAGGGACUAUUAUCAUUCUGUUCUCUUAUGUUUGGUGGGGAUUCUUAUUUCCUUACUCCCUACUGUGACACUUUAACCAGUUCCAGAAAACUCAUUCUUGGUGAGCUUCAGUUGUGGCUGAAAUCCCUUUAGCAAUUUCUAUAGGCUCUUGUAUUGUUAAGAACCAGACAUCUCUUGGGCCAGCCAAGCAAUUGGGACCACCUAAGCAAUUUGGACCACCCAUGGCUGGGCUUGGUCAGCCUCUAAGAUGGACAGGGAUCUCAUAAGAAUUCAAGUAAGGAAUUUGAGUAAAGACAAUUAAAAUUUAAAGAAAAAUUUUAAUUCAGUUUCCUGAGUUUGGAAAUUAGUUCCAAGACAGAUCUGGGAAUGUCAGCGCAAGAGUUUGUGUCAUCCAUCCUAGUAUACCACCUUUAACAUUUUUUAAUUCCUCUGUGUGUUUGUUCAGUGCCUUCCUCAUUGUUGACUCAACCUUUACUUUACCUCCUAGCUUAGUCUGCAUUCUGCUUCCCCUUCAAUUUUCAGCUAUUCAUAAUUAAAUGUUGCUUGUUGCCCCAGUGUAUGAGAUAGUGCCCAAAGGUAUUUAUUUCAUGUUUUCCAGCUUUCUUGCAUUUCACAGAUUCUAUUUAUUUUGCAUUUCAUAGACUUUAUUCCUUAGUGUAAGAAUUUCAGUGGCAUAACUCUGCCCUGCUUGGGAGUCACUUUUUGAAUCUUUUAAUGAUAUAUAAUGGCACUUGGAAAGUGUCCCCCACACCUGAUACUUUCUGCUUUGGACUACAAGGCAGAUCGUAUUCUAAAAAUCAUUGCUGUCUAGGACUGCUUCCCAGAACUAUGUUCUCCAGAACUAUAGGUGGAACAGUUUACCUUAGAUGGGAAUGUGAGUGUGGCCACCACUUGAUUCAGAUGUGUUCAUAUUGCAUUUCUACAUCUUGGCCGCUAAGCACAUGUGCCCUUCAUCUUAUAUAUACGUUUCUGAAGAUGCUUCUGUUUAUACUAUUCCAACUCUUACUGAAGCAGCAGUGUUAGAAUGUCAGCCAGAUGCUAUAGUCUGAAGUAAUGUCAUGAGACCGUUUUAGAAAUUUACCUGCCACUUUCACAAGCCCAGGAGGCGGAGGCAGGAGUAUUGCUGAGCCCAGGAGUUGAAGACUGCAAUGAGCUAUGAUCGCGUCACUGCACCCCAACUUGGGUGAUAGAGCAAGACCCUGUCUCAAAAAAAAAAAAAAGGUAAAGAGAUACUAAUAAAUAAUUCAGAUAACACAUAAAGAAAUAAAUAUAGUCAAGAUAAGCUAUAAUCUUGUCACUCAACUAAAACUAUGAAACUUUUGGUGUAUAGACUUUUAUUACUUUUAUUUUUUUGAGACAGAGUCUCAGUCUGUCACCCAGGCUGGAGUGCAGUGGCAAGAUCUCGGCUCAUUACAAACCCUGCCUCUCAGGUUCAAGCUAUUCUCAUGCCUCAGCCUCCUGAGUAGCUGGGAUUACAGGUUUGUGCCACCACACCCAGCUAAUUUUUGUAUUUUUUAGUAGAGAUGGGGUUUCUUCAUGUUGGCCAGGCUGGUCUCAAAUGCCUGGCCUCAAAUGAUCUGCCUGCCCCGGCCUCCCAAAGUGCUAGGAUUACAGGCGUGAGCCACCGCACCUGGCCUUUGUAUAGAUUUUUAAAUGCUAGACUUCUUUGAUAUUAUUGAGCAUAUAUUUUAUCUAAUUAUGACACCUGUUUUGAUUCUGUGCUUAAUUAAGCAAUUUUAUGAUUAUAAUUUGGCUAUAGGAAAAGAAUGUAUGCUUUAUAUGGAAACAAGUAUUCUGGUUACAUUGAUGGGUAUAUUGUAGUAAAUUAAUAAACUGGCACAUUGAAGAUUAUUCAUCUUCUUAUGUCAGCUGUGCUGAUUGUCCUUAUAAUUUAUCUUUGCACAGUUGACUAAUUGUUUCCUUACCAAAUGUAAUUUUAGUCAUAGAAGGUGCAGUGAAUACUCUCAGGACUCUGAAAUAUGGUUCAUACCCAUGGAAAAAAGCCUAACAAAAAUACUGAUAGCAUGGUUCCAAAGCGGGCAUGAGGAGGAAUAUGCAUUUGGAGGUGUUAGAGAAGAUAAUAUGAUAAUAAUCAGUUACUAUAGUUUUGUUAGGAGAACCUCCCUCAUUUUUUAACUGUACCUAGAUAACGAACUUUGUCAGUUUAUUUAUUUUUUUUAAUUUCUUAAUUUUUUGAGAUAGGGUCUCUCUCUAUCACUCAGGCUGGAGUGCAGUGGCAUGAUCAUGGCUCACUAUCCUCAACUUUUCAGUCUCAAGUAAUUCUCCCACCUCAGUCUUCUGAGUAGCCAGGACUACAGACAUGUACCACCAUGCCUGGCUAAUUUUUUGGAUUUUUUUUUGUAGAGACGGGGUUUCUGCCAUGUAUCACAGGCCGAUCUCAAACUAGGCUGGUCUCAAACUCCUGGGCUAAAACAGAUCACCCGCCUGAGCCUCCCAAAGUGCUGGGGUUAGAGGUCUGAGCCACCGCACCCAGCCAACUUUGUCAUUUUAGAGAUAGCAGCAUAUGCUUUAUCUUGGUCCUGAGGCAUGGUUGCUGGAGGUCAAGUCUAUGCAGUUAGCUACGAUGGGCCACGGAAAGAUUCUAAACUUCUUGUAGUCAUCCAAGUAGGUGGAUUGCAUGCACUAUUUGUAAUUGAAAAGUAUGAGUUCCUGUUUUUUUGUUGUUGUUGUUUUUGGUUUUAAGGAGCUGAGAGUUUAAUAGGCAAGAAGGAAGGGAGAAGACAGAAGGAAGAAGCUCCCCCUAUACAGAGGCAGAGGGAGGGGGGAUACAAAGCCGAAAGAGGAGGUCCCUACCUGCUAACCAUACCAGCCAGGUAUAUAUGCAGAGGCUGGAGGAGGCGGUGUUUGAUUUGCAUAGGGCUCAGGGGAUUGGUUUGAUUAGGCAUUUCAUUCACAUGGCCCAUGGAAAAAGCUGGCCCUCCCACUCUAGCCUUUUAAUAUGCAAAUGUAGGGUGCCAUGAUGGUCUACACACGUGGGGAUAUGUGGGGGUGGCCAUGUUGCCAGGAACCUGUGGGGAAAGGGCAAGAAGGCCCGGGGCAUCUCCAUGUUUGGGUGGGCCCAGUUUCUAAUGGCCUGCAUUUGCAUAUCAAUGGUUGCUGGCCUGGCUCUGAGAGCCAGGGCUUUGCAAGAAACUUUUCCAGAGGUGCUUUAACAAACAAAAACUUCCCAAGGACCCCUUUUCCUACAACAUUCCCCCCUGUGGAGAUGCCACACUAACUGCUGUUAGGGGGUUUGGGGCGAUGACUCUUUCUGGCUACUUCCUGCUGAAAAGGGGCAUCGAAUGGGGAACAGCAGCUAAGGCUCCUUCUGGGGUCGAUCUAAGGAUCCUCGGAAGAAUGGCGUGUGGUUCAGUUUACAGCACCAUUUGAAGUUUGAUUGCUUCUAGGCGAGAAGAAACAAUUUGAGUUAUAAUAUUGAGUAUACAGGGUCCAAAUAUCAAUACAAGACAGAUAAGCAAGAGAGUGCUUAAUAAAGGGGUUAACCAAUUCCAUAAAGAAGACUGGAAUUUAUUAAAGAGGGAUUGUAGCCACUCGGGCUGAAGCUGGCAUUUUCCCUGAGCCUGUCAAUAAUUUUGAUUUGAUUUCUAAGUACGCGUAGAUUUUCCUCUACUUUACUAGAGUUGUUAAUCCAAAAGCAGCAUGUUUCAUUUAAAACUACAUUACUAAACCUAAUAAAAAGUCCUAGCAGACUCAGUGAUAGUAAAACUUUCAUGCUUCCUUUUUGUCAACUAUUAUCCUUGCUAUAAGGAUAAUAAUUAAGCAAAAUACUACAGCAAUGGAAACUCUCUGUCCAAUAUUUCAGUUAGAAGGUGGUACCAUGUGUAACGCUAUUGCAAAUAGUAGGGUGAGGACAGCAGUUCCCACAAAUGUGGUGUGGCAGGUAAUUUCCAUCUAAAAUUUUACUUGCCAAGAUAUUAGAAUUCCCCUUUGGGGGUCUAUGAAGUUCCCUGGUUUUAUUUUCCCAAACAGAAACCUCCAGGUUAUGGGCACUUACUUUAAUUAUCUGGCAGAAUUUGCAAGAUAAUUGCCCAGAACUAGCAUAUUGAUUCACAUUUUUACCUUACCCAUCCCUAUUCUUUUAUUCCAAGCUGCAGAAGAUCACCACGUGAUUCACAGGAAUAAGCAAGGUUAGUCUAAAACAUAGGCAAAAAGCUUAAAAACAAUUAAUGAGAGUAGGCUUUAAUGACAAAUUUAUGAUAAGCUUUGGGGCAAAAUUUUUCUCUCCAGUCCUCAUUUUUGGUAAAAACUAUGAAUAAACUUUAGUCUUAUACUUGGCCUGAUUAUUUGCAUAAAGUGCAGCAAGAAUGGUUAUUUUUACAUAGGCCUUUUGGAUUGGCUUUGAUGAAACUCUGUUCCACAAGGAAUUUCAGAUAAGACUUAAAGCCGAGCCCAGCCAUGGGUUGUAUCCUUUAAUACCUGUGAGUUGGGUGAUCCUCUCCUCUUGAGUUCCCAAGAUAAACUCUGAGCUUCUAUACCUGUUAGAAAGUGACAUUCUUUACUGACCACAGGUUAGGAACCCUGUGUGGGGACUGUGCAGACAAGGUAUGAGGCCAGUUCUCCACAAGGGGCUUUUAUUGGCUUUGCAUGUCAAGCUUGAUUCCUUAAAGGGAAACACACCCUUUCAGUCAAAGCCUUGGUAAAAUAACCAGUUUUUCCAAUUGUGUCCUGUUGACAAAGAAAAAUGGAUUCGUAUUGCACUGAUGCAAACAACUAUAUUGCCAUAAAUUAAGAGUACUCACAGAUAGUUUCCAAAUUCUAGGGGAACCAGGCAGAGAAAAGUAAACAUGCUCCAAAUUUUGUUCACAGGGGUAUACCUUACUCAAUCAUUAAAGGCCAUAAAUAGUUUAAAAUAACUUCCCUUGACUCUGAAAAUCAAAACAAGGAUUAGCAAUAUUCCAAGCAACAGUCAAAAAGGUUGCUUUAACUUUCUGAGUGUAGUCCACUUAGUUAACUUUUGUUUUGCUUGGUAUUUGUCAACAUGUCAAUUCUUUGAGUCCUGUACAUUCUUUAUUUCAAUGUUACAAUCUUUAAGGCUAUUAAAAACCUGCAUUUAACAACACCUGUUAAAGUCCCUAAUAUAGCUUUAUUAUAAACUGUCUUUUGAGAAGGAACAAAGGAAGACAACAAUUGUCUGCGAAUGACAAAUUUCCAGGAUAGUUACAGUUAAAUAUAUGACUAAGAAAGAAGUUUACUUAUCUUCGUGGUUUACAAUAACUUUACCCUUAAUUAUGAUUGAUAGCAUAUACUUAGACAUUAGAAUUUUAGAAAUCUCAUACAAUUUUGGAACAUAUUAGUAUUUAUUCACCAAAAUAUAACUUACAACAAUAUAACUUUAUAGCAAUAAAGAAGAUUGGACAUCAUUUUGGCAAUCUCAUGUGACUAAACAUGUCAAGUGAUCUUGUUUACCUCUUUUCUGAAUAUUUCAGGGGCCCUCUGAACCAUCCAGAAAGCCAGGCAGCAGUAAUGACAAUUUCCAGAUUGCCAUAAAUUAUUUUGUAAAAAUAACUCAAAAGGCAAAAGCCUUUCAUCAGCCUUUACUAUGAUAUGAAAAUUUUGUUCAAAGCAAAAUUUUUCCCUUGCAUUAGUUUAUUAAUGUUAAUUCCAGUUCGUUUCCAUGAACCCUUAUAGAUUAUCCCGUCUAAUCCUAACCAAUUUGACCAUGAGGUGAAAUCUUUACAAACCUUUUGUAACCCUUUUACUAAAGGGCAGAUUAGUGUCUUAAGACCUCCUUGCUGUGCUUCUAUUUUAAUGCUUAAUUCAUGAAAAGACCGUAUAGAUGCUAUGGGAGAAGAUGGUGUAGUGCUUCUACCAUGCAUUUCAUUGCAAGGCAACCCAAAGCCAAUUGGCUUAUUUUGUAAUCAGCCCAUCCCUGAUGGGCGUCUCAUCUCCCAGUGGGGGAUGGGGAUGUUUCCUUAUCUUCCAGGUGGCCAAGAGCAUGCUUCUCUGUUUUGUAACUGCUAUUAGCCAUCCCUUACUGUGUAUUUUCUACCUAGUUAUUACACACCAAAGCUCUCUCAUAAUGCAAAGUAAUUUCUGAUAACCCCCAAAACUCAAAACCGUCAGAUAACACAGUGCAAAACAGAAUAAAGCCUUUGAUUUUGAGAGGGAUCUAUCUCCUUUUAAUUCCUGGGGUUUCAUGAGGAAAACAGGCUUUUUCUGAAAACAGGGUUUGCGGUGCCUCCUCUGUUUUUCCCCAGGAGUCCCAUACUACCAGAAGUUAUUUUAGGGCUUUUUAUGCAUGCAUUAAGAGGGGUAAGACAAAAAACGGAGAAAAUAAUUCAGUCAACUGAGAAGAAAAGAGCCCUUUUCCAGAAAAGCAAGAUUCAAGAAGAGAAAAGCAUAAAGGCCUUUAAAUAUACCUAUAACUUGAAUAUUUACUUUUAAUUAAGCUGAGCACUCUUUAAGAAAAUCCUUUUAAAUCCCUUGUUACUUGACUUUAGCCACACCAAGCAGUUAAGAUUUUCGGCUUUUGAACUUUACAGAAAGUACCCUUAUAGGUGAAACCAACGAGCCUUAAUUAGGUUAUGAUUUAAUUACGAGUGUACAAGGUAUUUUUAAAGGAGUGAUAGACAGCUUUUGAAACUGUCAUUGCAAAACUGUCACUGAGACAGUCAAAGAGAUCCCACCCAAACAACUCCAUUUUGUUUCCAGGUUUCCAGCCCUCAAGCUGUCCUUGCCCAUCUCUGGGUGUAGGCUAAACCAACUUUGGGAGGAGCCUGGUUUACAGUCUAUAGUCUAAAACAAAGACGAUAACAGCGGCUUCCCAAGAUAUAUUUCCCUCUUACCUGGGGACCAGUCCAAGAAACUAACCACAGGAUUAGAAACCAUGGCCCAGGAGCUGGAGGCCACAAGAUUUUGACCCUCCCUAAACUGCUCUCAAGAUCAGUACUUAAGAUAUUUUGUAAACCCUGCCCUUGAUAGAUCAGCUGGCACCACCCAGAUUGACAAACUGGCUUAUCUGAUUUAGCACAAAAAGACAGCCACCAUUGUAAAAUGGCGGAGACUAAAACAAAGUAUUGCCAUGCAGUUACAGAUGACAUUCCCAAAGACAUGAAACAAGAUGGAGACCUGUAGCCGACUUUGCCACUGACCGCUUUGCUGGACUGGCUUGAACAGCAGGCUUAUGGGGUCCUGGGCCUGCAUCCUAACCUAAGAUUCCCUUUCUUUGACAGAACCAUACAGAAAGACAUGCAAAGCACACAAGAUUGUCUACAGCUUAAGGCCAGCCUUACAAAUCCUUUUUCAUUAGUUAUACAUUUACAGAGAACAUCAACAGUGAUCCUUAUUAUCCCUUUUACCGGUUUGCACAAGGAGAGAGAAGCCAAAAGCCCAACUGCUAAGAAAUGUUUACCCUUUUGCCGGCACAUCAGGCUUCUGGGUCCACUUUCCCCUAGCUCAACUCUAUGCCAAGCAUUUUAAGAUUUGGCAAAUUAACUUUUCCUAGGUUGGAACAACAUUAUAAAAGAGACAGAAGCCAUUUUAAACCACAAAAGAAGGAAAAACACCUUAGAAAGGAGUUUCAAUUAGGGUUGUUAAGAAGUAAUACCUCUCUUCCUAUUGGGAAUGGUGUUUCCCCUAUUUCUUUGCCUUCCCUAUUUUUCUCUUUUCCCUUCUGGCCCACUAUAGGAGACAUAUUGCUUAUCUCCAAAAUUUUCUUCUGCUUGCAGAGCUGCCUGUUUUAGCAGCAGUGAGGGUUUGACUUAGCAGCAACAUAACAUCCCUCCAUAUGAGGUCAAAUACGUGAGUUAAAUUUUGGAAAGCUUCUAUAUACCUAUCAGGGUCGUCAGAAAAUCAGCCUCAGUUUGCCUUUACUUGCCUAAGGUCAUUAAAGGGGCCCAAAAUAAGAGGGACCAUCAGAUGAUUUCCUUGAAAGUUACUUUUUUAAUUUUGGGGAACUAGUUUCCCUGGACCUGCCCGAUAUGGUUGCUAAAAGAGCUGGCUUGAUCUUGCAAUGUUGCAAAGGUCUAGUAAAAAGACCAUACCCUUGUGCAAAAGAAAAUAAGCCACUUUUUCUUCAAAGUUUCAAGGUCGAAGGAGUCCCAGUGCUUCAACAUAUACUCCAUGGGAGUGCACAUUGAAGACGAUCUGUUACCCAUCUAGAAAAAGAAGUGAGAAUAAAAGCGUCCUUUUAGUCUCCUUCCUUUCAGUAUGUGAUCCAGGGUGGAGAUGAAAACAAUAGAGGGCAUCCCCCCAACUAUUUUCUCUCUGUUGCUCCAGGAUUCCCGGCACCUGCUUAAAUGUGCCACCCAUGACUGCAGGUGUGACCCUCCAAGCUGUGGCACCAGAGGAACUGAGUUCCUUGGUCACGCUGUCCCCAAGCAAUCAGUACUCUGCCUUUUAUUUCCCUUUGACCUUCUAGACUUGCGUGGCCUGUGUGCCUUCCAAAACACGGAUUUCAAGAAAAACCAUGUAAUUGGGCAAGGCCCCUUUAAGGGAGGGGGAGUGCUAGAUUGAACUGUGUAUUCUGCUAUUAUAGCCCAUGCUAAAGCAUUUACUCAUGGAAGAAUGGUUCUGGUUAACUUCCGGACUCAAAAAUCCCCUUACUAAUUCAGUACUGUCUUAAUAGGAGACAAAAUCAAUGCCUUAAAGGAACGUAGGAGCCUAAUGGCCGUUUUCCUGCCAGUGGGGACAAUAUCGAGACUAAAAUUCGGCUAGGGAAGACAUCUUACUCCUAACUGUUAAAAGCAAAAACUUCCCGUUCCCAAAAGAGGCCUAGAGCCUGAUUUCUACUAGGCGGCUUAGAAAUACCAUGUGCUUGCCAGGGAAAACAGAGAGAGAAACAUUUAUUGAGUUACUGCCUGCCGUGAUUCACGAUCUUUUCUGACAGACCUGUUUUCCCUGAACUGUAAAGAUUCCUGCACAUUGAACACCCAGAGAGAGGGUAAGAGACCACCAAUAGAAAGUUUGGUGACAGGGUAGCUGGAAGAAAGUCUUGAGAUUAAAGGACAGAUUUGAAGUUGAGAUCCGCUCCAUACUCACCAGUCUGAUGAUUGAAUUUUCCUUUUCCCGCCCAUGCACCAAAAUGAUAUGGCUCUGAUGAGUGGAGGAACACCAGGGUUCUUGUUCCUCAGGCUGGUUUAGAUAAAACAACAUGGACACAUGUGGAGUGGUUUUAAGGAGUGGAGAGUUUAAUAGGCAAGAAGGAAGAGAGAAGACAGAUGGAAGAAGCUCCCCCUUACAGAGACAGAGGGAGGGGGGCACCAAAGCUGAAAGAGGAGGUCCCCCAAGUUCCUGUUUUUAUUAGCCUGGAACUUGAUAGUAAUGACAUUAACUGAAAGUAGGACAUAAACUAUAUAUUUUAGUUUAAUAUGUAAAAGGAUCUUCUGCAUCACUAAAGAAGAAAAGUGUCUUGCUGGGAAUGAGAUUAGGAAACAAAUUUGGGAAAUACCAUUGUUCCUUUUUUGUGGAGAAAGGUACCCUGUCCAAAAAGAAAAAUGUCUUGCUUUGCUAGAUAAAUGCACCGUUUUGCCUAAAAACCAGUGUAACAUUUUAUUCUAAGUCAGAAGUAAUUACUGAGCUGUGGUUUUGUGUUCUGUAUGUAUAAUCUCAUUUAUUGACAGUUCUAACCUAGUAAUGAAAGUGCAACAGGAGAAUUAUAACCAGAAACAUCUAACUGUUAUAUUAUACAUACAUGUACUGUUUAACUGUAAUUGUGAAAAUGCAUUUUGAAAGUUGGAAAAAAAGAAAGGUUGCCUCUAUGGUUUGGCAGCUUAAUACCGAAAAGUAGACAGUGUCUUGCGGGUCAUAGAUCAUGGGACUCAACAUAAAGUCAUACAGCUAAGACUUGUUACAGCAACAUAAUAAGCAUAUAUAGCCUUUCUAAGGUUAGCAUAAGGGAAAAAGAGAAGGUAGAGUCUGGAGGAACCAGCGUGCAGGUCUCCUUAUGCUCUCUCCCUCUCAUGAGUGGUCAUACAGAGCGCAUUCUUGUAGCAAUAAAAAUUUGGCAACACGUGUGCCAUGUUUCUGCUCGAGGAGCCCAUUAGAGACUUGGCACCCAAAGUUUCUAUUGUAGGUUGGUCCUGUAGGCACUUUCUGCUUUGCAUGUACCAAAAUUCCACAUUCCCAGAAGGAAAGCAGGUAUUCAACAUGACCCACUUUUAUUUGCACAAACAAUCUAGUAAAAGGCCAACCUUGGCAGCAGGUCUUCCUAAGGAUACUAGUCUCAGUCUGUGCACAUAAGCUGAAUGUGUAAAAUGGUUAAAUACUGGACCCUUCUGUAACUGAUCACAUGCAAACUGCUUAAGGGCAGAAGUGGGCCAGUUUAAUAAGAAUGAGUUUAAAUACAUGAUUCCUGUUGUAUUUGGGGCAUGCUAAAAAAUACUGGGAGUCCUUUAGGUUAAGUUAAAGACAAUAACCUAAGCUUACAGGAUUUUAAACAAAAUCUUUGAUAUAUUGGCUGUUUUUGUUUGCUUCCUUUUGCUCUCAUACUAUGCAUAGAGUUACCUGAAAGAAUUGUGUUAAUUUAAAAAUUUGGAUGUCAUUCCUUCCCCACAGUUUACUUGGAAAUUGGUGUUCAAAUAUUUGGAAGGAGCCAUUCUUUUUUUUUUUUUUUUUGAGACGGAGUCUCACUCUGUCGCCCAGGCUGGAGUGCAGUGGCGCGAUCUAGGCUCACUGCAGGCUCCGCCUCCUGGGUUCAUGCCAUUCUCCUGCCUCAGCCUCCCGAGUACCUGGUAUUACAGGCACGUGCCACAAUGCUCAGCUAAUUUUUUUGUAUUUUUAGUAGAGAUGGGGUUUCACCGUGUUAGCCAGGAUGGUCUCGAUCUCCUGACCUUGUGAUCCACCUGCCUCGGCCUCCCAAAGUGCUGGGAUUACAGGGGUGAGCCACCGUGCCCGGCCUGGCACCAUUCUUUAAGAAAGAAGUACAAGGGAAUAUUAGAUUUUUAUUGUGUGGUUUCACAUCAGUGUAAUUAGAAUAUAGGAAAUUUGUUUAAAAUAAUAGGCCUUUUCAUUUGACGAGAUUUAAAAACACAGAUUGGCUGUGGUAUCUGGGCAUAAUUUGAUAUAGAUAAUAGUAUUUUCCUCCAUAUCGAAAAUUGAGGUAAGUUUUAUAACCUCUUUGAUGCAUUUUCCUAGUAGAGUUAAAAAUGUUGAAGUAUAGCCACCAAAACAUUCAUGUUGGUUAUCCUUUUUUUUUUCCUUAAUGAAAAUGUACUACUUUGGUGGAAAAAAGUUAAUAAUUUCGUUAGUUGGUAGGUGAAUAAUGAGUGAUAGAGACUGUUCUGACACCAAUUGUCUGACACCAACUGGGUAUCCUGCAAUUCAUUUCAAUUCUGACACUAACUACCCAGAGUUAACACAAACUACCAGGCACACAAAGUGUUCAUCCACCAGGAAGCUCCUUGAACUUUGAGUUUGCAGAGUUUUAUUGGCCACAUGAUUAACUUCCUUCUCCAGCUCCUCUUUAAUCUCUGAACAUCUGGGGGUGUGGCUAAAAGUUCCAACCCUCUAACCAUAUGCUUGGUCUGUCUGGCAUGGCCAGCUCGUCCUUUCAAACUAUGUGAGGGCCUACCUUGAGUCACCCCCAAGUAUAAACUCAGAUAUAGUCCAAAGGGGCUUCUUAUGAAUAACAAAGACACUUCCAUUAAUCAGGAAAUUCCAAGCCUCUCUAAGCUCUGUACCAGGAACAGGAGACAAAGACUAGAUUUAUUCUUCAUUAUAUGACAGAUACAUUUUUAUAUUUUGCCUCUGGUUUUAGUAAAGUUUUUGUUGUGAAGAACACAAAUGCCAGAUCAAAUGAGGGGGCUGUAAUUAGCAAGGCUGCAAGGGAUUGUGAGCAGUAAGGGAGAUAGGGAUUUUACUGGAAAUCCACCAAAGGAACUGGUAUGUAGCUAUGCCUCUCAGUAAGGGGAACUAGAAAGCUAUUAGGAAAUCAAGGCAUCUGGAGAAACUAUGUGUGUGUGCCCACCAACAUGUUCAUGUUUGCGCUGCAUUUUUGCUUUGUCAUCCUCUUGCCUCAGGUUGUUUUGCUCUCUUGUUUGACUUUCUAUGCCCUUCUCUACCCUAGGGCUUCUACUUAGAGUUUCUGCUUCCACAGGACUCCUUACAGCUUAAGUUCUAGUUUAUAUGUGGCUAUGCAUAUUGAAAACUUGGGUUCUUUUUUUGGAGACAGGGUUGUACAGGCUGUUGCACAGGCUGUAUUGCGGUGGUGUGAUCAUAGCUCACUGCAACCUUGAACUCCUGGGUUCAAGUGAUCCUCCUGCCUCAGCCUCCUACCACCCCCUGCUAAUUUUUGUUAUUGUUGUUGUUGUUAGAGAAUGGGGUCUGGCUAUGUUGCCCAGGUUGGUCUUGACCUAAGGGCCUCAAGUGAUCCUCCCACCUCAGCCUCCUAAAGCACUGUGAAUUUCAGGCAUGAGCUUGAGUUCUUAUUAACUGUCAGCCUGACUGGCUCUUUCCUAGCUAGGCUAGUCAGCUCGGCUGAGGAGUCAAGGGAGGACAGGCUUAUUACUAUGGAAAGCACUUCCAAAACAUUAAAAUGUUUCUCUUUAAAGAGUGUUUAUCAAUGCUCAAACCUGAACCAGAAAAAGAAAAAAGAAAAAAAAUGGAAAAGAGUGCUUAAAAUAUUAAGGAUAUUAAGCAUGUCAAUCCUUUUCUUAUUCCUAAUACCAAAAGAAGAAUUCCUAAGAUAAAAGAUUGAUAAGUGUCAUGACAUGAAAUUUAAUUGAGUUUAACAUAUUUAAGUAAAUAUUUGACUUUUGAUUUUGUAAGAUCAGCCGGGAGAAAGGACAAGAGAGCAAGACCCAAGUUCAGGCAAGCUUUUAUUAAACCCGCCGGCUGCUUUAUCACAGACAAAGGAGGCAGCAGCAGCCAGCUUACAGAAUGAGGGGUUUAUAUUGGGGAGGGAGUUUGAGGGAGUUCUUUGGUAUGGCCGCAUCCCGGGGUUGUUUGCUGGUUUAUUCUGCCACAUUAUCACCUUGUGACGUUUAUGGUACCGGAGAUUGUAGGUAAAGUUUGUUUAUGCUUCCCACGACCUCCCUCUGUGCGGUCCGGAUGGUUUGUAAUUGGGGUUUGCUUUAUAGCAGCGAGGCCUGAUAGGUAAAGUCUGCUGGCUUCACUGUGGCGCCUAGAUAAGGGCUUAGAAAUGUAAAAAGGCUUGGGGCAGCAUGGAGAGGAGUUGCAGAGUGGGGAGGGGCAGGCAGCACCAAGAAGCUUCUUGAGGCAGUUUGUCCCUAACAGAUUUAUUUUCGGAAAGGAAUUCUGAACUCUGAGACCAAAUCAGUAUAUUUGUGUAUAUUUUUUCAUAUACUUCCAAAGUCUUUUAAUUCUUAAUUAACCUGAUAUUUAAGUGAAAAGGGUUUACUCUUUAUCCUAGUUAAUUACAUAUUCCAUUUGUUAAUGAAACUAUCCUUUGCUCACUGCGUUGUAAACACAUCUUUAUCUUUCUUUCUUCAAACAUAGAAGCCAUAAAAUAAGAUUCAUAAAUGCAGCUACAUAAAAAAUAUUUUUAAAUAUUUAAAUAUUAAUAUUAAUUUUUUUAAAAAUAAAAUAUUUUGUGUCAAAAUGCUCUAAAUGAAGUCAAAAGAGAAACAAGAAACUGGAAAAAAUAUUUGCAACACACAUUAAGUGCUAAUCUCCAUUAAUAUAUAAAAAGCUUCUAAAAAAAUAAGGAAAAUUAAAAGACCCUAGUUAAAAAUGAGCAAUGGUCAUGAACAGAUAGUUCCCAGGAAAACCAAUGGCACUUUAAUAUAUAAAAGCAUGCUUAAGUCAUUUAUAGGAGAAAUGUGAAAAACUACAGAAAGUUAAUAUUUGAGAACUUUGUUGGCAGGACUGUGGGAAAACUGGCACUUAUAGAAUGCUGGAAUGCAAAAUAAUAUAAUACUUAUGAAGGAUACUUUGGAGAUAUUUAUCAAAGUAAUAGUUGCCCUGGGGAAUCUCCCUGGGCUCUGGUGGGUGGUGGCUGUGGGGCUGCAGUUAGUGCGUCCAGGCCCUGUGGCUUGUUGGGCAUGAGGCAGCAUUCGUACACCUUCCAGGGUGGCUUUUCUUGCUCAGUUUCUGGAAAGGAGGAGGAAAUGCUGCAGCUUCCACAGUACUUUUGCUUAAGACAAAGCCAGGGAUCUGGAAUUUCAAAAGAGCUGGGGAUAGAAGGUUUGAGCUGGCCCCACCCAGCCCUCCAUUUGACCUCCAAAGCAGGCUGUUUCCUGCUGCUGGCUGAGUAGAGGCGGCCUUCCUGGAGGGAAGGGAGAAAAAAAAAUUAAAGUCGCCUUUAUUUGAUCUAGUGAAUCCUCUUCUAAGAAUUAUCCUACAUAGCUGAAAAAGUGAAACAAGUUGUAUAUGUAACAUUGAAGAAUAUUUUAUAAUAGCAAAAGGUUGGAAACGAUCCAGGGGCUCAUCAAUAAGGGACUGGAUAAACUGGUAGAUUCUCACAAUGGAAUACUAGAAUGCUUUAGAAAUGAAUGAGGUGGCAGUCUAUGCAGUAAUAGAAAAUUUGAAGGCUAUAUUAAGUGAACAAAGGCAUAUAAAGAUAAUACAUAUAAUGAGUUUUCUUCUGUGGAAGAAAAUGGGUGAAACAUAUGUUUACUUAUAUUUUUUAAACAUAUAGCACUGAGAUAUGAAAGCAGUUACCUCUAGGUGCUAGGAGAAUGGGGCAGGUGUAUCCAGAGUGAGAACAAAAAUUUUCUAUAUACAAUGUUUGGAAGAUCCAGGUGAUUUGUUUUUCCUUUUGUGUGUGGUAAAAUAUAUAUAGCAUAAAAUUUACCAUUUUAAUCAUUUAUAAGUUGCAGUCCAGUGGCAUUUCUUUUUUUUCCUUUUUCUUUUUUUUGAGACAGUCUCACUGUGUUGCCCAGGCUGGAGUGCAGUGGCAAGAUCAUGGCUCACUGUAAUCUCGACCUCCUGGGCUCAAGCAAUUCUUCCACUCCUUCCACCUCAGCCUCCUGAGUAGCCCGUGCCACCACGCCUGGCUAAUUUUAUUUUUUUGAGACAGGGUUUCCUUUUGUCACCCAGGUUGGAGUGAAGUGGCACCAUCUUGGCUGGCUGCAACCUCCACCUCCUGGCCUCAAGUGAUCCUCCCACCACAGCCUCCUGAGUAGCUGGGACUAUAGGCGCAGGACACCAUUCUCCACUAAUUUUUUAAUUUUUUGUAGAUAUGAGAUUAUAAGUUGUUUUAAAAAAAGUAAUAUGUGCAAAUGGUAAAUAGUACAAAAUUCAAUUUGUACUAAAGUUGUUUUAGUUAAAAGUCUUCUUUCUGCUUUUAGAUUCCCAGUUCUCAAUCUUCCUUCCUCCUUACAAGAUACAAGCAACCUUCAACCUUCCCAGAGAUGGUCUCUGUAUAUGAAAGACAAUGGUCUUAUUAUGAAGUCGGCAUAUUUAUAGCUUGAUAAAAACUGAAAAAUCUGUAGCCUAUUUUUAAUAGUGAUAUAUAAGGAAAUAACAUAAAUAAAAAUUUGGCAACAAGAAUCCAGGAGCAAAUUUAUGAUCAAUACACAAUUGGGCAAGUGGUGUUCAUACCAACCAUGCAAAAAUGGUUCAAUUUUAGGAAAUCUUUGAAUAUAGCUUUUAGUAGGUCAGAGGAAAUCAGUAUCUCAAAGUACUUUCAUGAUUUAGUUAUUUUUAAGUUAUUGAUCAUUUUGGAUUUUAUUUUGAGGUUGAUAGCCAUAUAAUGAUUUCACAUUUUAUUUUAAAUGGCUAGCUGUUGUCCCAAUACUAUUUACUGAAAAAUCUACAUUUUGCUCACUCUUUUUUUUUUUUUUUAAGAGACAGGGUUUUACCAUGUUGCCCAGGCUAGAUUUGAACUCCUGGGCUCAAGUGAUCCUCUCGACCCAGCCUCCUGAGUAUCUGUGACUGCAGGCAAGUACCCCUGUGCCUGCUCACUUAUUUAAAGUUCUACACAUCAAAUACUAAAUUCUCAUCUAUUUGACUUCUGGACUCACUGGUUGGUGUCAUUGACUGUCUUUUCCUGUGAUAGCAUAGAAUUAUUUUGAUUGUGGAAGUACUAUAAAUGUUGCUAUUUAUUGUGCCUCUUGCUGCCUAUCUAUAUUUAGACUCAUUUAUGUGAUGCCAUUCUGUAUACUCUAAAUUUUUUGGUUCUAUUUUAAUAAUGUUUGAGUCAAUGACUUUUCAUGACUCUUGACUUCCCUACUUCAACAGUUUACUAGUCUCCAUCUUGAAUGUUUUUAUUAAUCUAUUUUGUGUUAAUUCUACCCAGGUUUUUUGUUUUUCCUUGCUACUAUUAUAUAUAUUUCUGCCAGAUGUCACAUGGUAUAAAUGCCUAUAUGGACUUUUGUAACAGAAAAUUUACUUACUAGAAUUAAUGUAGGGGGCUUUUUAAUAAGAGUGCAUGUAACAUAGUAACAGUAGCAGAGCUAUAUCAGAAACAGUUCUGAUAAUAUUUCAUGAUCUAUAGUUUGUUGCAUGCCCAUUGCUUCAUACUGCUUGUGUUCUUGGUUGAGUCAUAAGUAAUUUUUAUGGGGUGUGUCAUGACUGUCAUAUUCAUAGAGAGUUGUCUGCCUUGCCCCAUGGUCUUUGCAUGGCUUAAACAGGACCCCUUUUCAUACACAAGUCAUUCAAUUUUAUGUUUUUAAUAGCAUCAAUUUUAGUGUUUAACAUGUGUCUCUGGACUAUGCAUCAGAAUACUUGACUGUUAGUGUGAAAUGAAAAUUCAUGGAUAUCAUAAUUUAUGUAACAUAAUUUAACAUUUCUUUAUUAAUAAGACUUUAGAUUGUCCCUUUCACAAAAAAAUGGUGCGGUUAAAACUUAAUCCUUGUGUCUUUUUGUGAGUAGUUCUAUGAUUUCUAUAUGAUGGCAUCCUUGAAAAAGUUGGUAAAAAUAAGAAUAGUUCUUAUUUAUUAAAGUUCUUCUCAAAUUGCUCUUCCAAAACAUUUUAGUUUAUACUGCAAUGUUAACCAUUUUACACUUGCUUAAGUAAUUUUCUUCAAAUACACACGAGUCCAGGCUAUUUAACCUUAUUUUACCGCUAUAGCACAAAACAGGUUUUCCAAAAUUGUCCUUGCACACCUGGGAUUUUACAAGGAUAUUAUAAUCUUGGUUCAGUUUGACUUACUGAAUUUGUAGUAAGUAUAUUUUAGCACAUAGAAAAUUCAAAAUAUGUGUUAAUCUGUUUAUAGGGUAAAUUUUUAUGAGGGUGGAUGUCAUCCUGUUUUUUUUUUUUUUAAUAAAUGUUUUGUUUCAGAAUGUUUUUUAUUUACAGAAAAGUUACAAACAUAGUACAGAGAGUUCCCAAAUGCUCCACACCGAGUUUUCCCUAUUGUUUUUUUUUUUUUUUUUGAGAUGGAGUCUCGCUCUGUUGCCCAGGCUGGAGUGCAGUGGUGCAAUUUCGGCUCACUGCAAGCUCCGCCUCCCGGGUGCACCCCAUUCUCCUGCCUCAGCCUCCGGAGUAGCUGGGACUACAGGUGCCCGCCACCGUGCCCGGCUAAUUUUUUGUAUUUUUAUUAGAGACGAGGUUUCACUGUGUUAGCCAGGAUGGUCUCGAUCUCCUGACCUCGUGAUCCGCCCGCCUCGGCCUCCCAAAGUGCUGGGAUUACAGGCCUGAGCCACCGAGCCCGACCAGUUUUCCCUAUUGUUAAUAUCUUGAAUUAGUAUAGUACAUUUGUCUCCUUCUCCUUUUUGCCCUUGGUAACCUCUAAUCUACUUUCAGUCUCUGAAUUUGCCUAUUCCAAAUAUUUUGUAUAAGUGGAAUCAUACAAUAUUUGUCCUUUUGCUUCUGGCGUAUUUCACUUAGCACAAUGCCUUCAAGGUUCAUCCAUGUUAUAGCAUAUGUCAGAACUUUAUUCUUUUUUAUAGCUGAAUAAUAUUUCAUUGUGUGUAUAUGCCACAUUUUGUUUAUCAUUCAUUUUGUUUAUGUACCAUGUUUUGUUUAUAUACAUCUAUUAGUAUGUAUUUGUUUAGAUAUACAAUUUGCUUGUAUACCACAUUUUGUUUUUCUGCUAUCUAAUGGAUUAUGCUGCUCUGGAACAUUCAUGUGAUGCUUUUGUUAAUUGCUUAUACAUUUUAUUAAGCUAAUGAGCUUGGUCAUAGUAACAUAUAAAAUCAAGAAUCGUUUAACUUUUGCAAUAAAAAUCUUGAUGUUGACUCUGAAGUAGUAAGAUGCAACUUCAAUGUACUGGGAUUGAGGCAGCCAUAGCAAUAUUACCACAGGUUUUCCAAAAAUUAACACAAAUAUUUUCUAUUCUAGAUGUGAUAUCUUUGGCAUCACUGUUCAUUCUUUUCCUCCUUGAUUAAAGUGAAACAAUUACAUUAAAAUAGUUUUAUGAUUUAAAAAUCAUUCUUUUUUUAAGCUAUUAUUUUUAAUGUAGGUCAGUGUGUUAUGUAAAUUGAUGUCCACUACCUGAACAUGUGAUGCUUUCUCUUUUAUUCCUUGGUAUUUCCUCCAUAUUCUCUGAGGGCCUUCAGUCAAUUUUUUUAAAGGAAAUAAUAAGUUCAAAUAUGUAUCUAUGACUUAGGGUUACAAAGAAUAUUUUCUUUGCCUCCAGUAUACUUUGUAUUAAAAAAAUUAUAAAAGGCCAUAGGUAUUCAUUUUCAAAUAUUUGAAAAAAAAAGGCAUGGCACAAUUAAAGCAUAUGCAGAACCAACUUGGAUUAUUGCUAUAUUUCUUUCUUUCUAGUGUGUACGGAUAUUGAUGACAUUUUUAGGUGGCUCUUAACAAGAACAUUUUCCUCUCUUUAGAUGUGAAUGCAUAGAAUUCUUUCAUUUGGACCAGGAUCGUUUUAAAACAUUUCCUUUAUUUUUUGAUUAAAUUUUUUUCCUUUUAAAUAUUAGGACUUAGUUUUUUAUUAAAUUUGAACAUAAUAUAUUUAACAUACUUACGGAUACAUUUUUGUGGGCAUAUUUCUCUGACAAUUUCUCUUAUUACAAACCAAACUUGUUAGUGACCUGAUUUUGUGUGUGUGUGUGUGUGUGUGUGUGUGUGUGUGUGCGCGCAUGCGCGCGUGUUUUGCAUUUCUAUUCUUUGUUUUCUAGUUUCAUCCCUAUGCUAGGACAUGGCUGUGUUCGUUUCUCUUUCACUAGAUUUUUUUAAUGACUGUAAGGUUAUUCUACGCUUGUAAUCUGCUUUUGCAGUACUUUUCCAUCAAAAACAACUGUGUUACUUCUCAUUUAAAUAUUUAUUUAUUUAUUUUUGAGACAGGGUUUCGCUCUGUCACCCAGGCUGGAGUGCAGUGUCGUGAUCUUGGCUCACUGCGGCCUCUGUCUCCUGGGUUCAAGCAAUUCUCCUGCCCCAGCUUCCCGAGUAGCUGGGACUACAGGUGGACACCACCACUCCUGGCUAAUUUUUGUAUUUUUAGUAGGGACGGGGUUUCACCAUGUUGACCAGGCUGGUCUCCAACUCCUGACCUCAAGUGAUCUGCCUGCCUCAGCCUCCCAAAGUGCUGGGGGAUUAUAGGAAUAAGCCACUAUGCCCGGCCUCAUUUAAAUAUCUCUUAAUCAUCUUUUACCUGUUUUUCCAUUCUAAGCAGUGCAUUCUUUUUUUUAUAGCAGUCUUUUGAUAACAAUAGCUAAGAGGCCAGGCACGGUGGCUCAUGCCUGUAAUUCCAGCACUUUGGGAGGCUGAGGCAGGCGGAUCACCUGAGGUUGAGAGUUCGAGACCAGCCUGGGCCAACAUGGUGAAACCCCGUCUCUACUUAAAAAAAAAAAAAAAGAAUUAGCUGGGUGUAGUGGUGCAUGCAUGUCAUCCCAGCUACUCUGGAAGCUGAGGCAUGAGAAUUGCUUGAACCCAGGAGGUGGAGGUUGCAGUGAGCCAAGAUCGCGCCACUGCACUCCAGACUGGGUGACAGACUAAGAGAGUCUGUCUCAAAAAAAAAACAAAAAACAAGCAAACAAAAACCUCCCAAGAGUUAACAUUAACUGAGCAUACAUUAAAUGGUAAGUGUCACACACUGUUCUAUGUAUGCAUAGCUCAGUUUUUAACUUAGGAAGUAAAUUCUAAUAAUAUUCCUUAUUUUUUUCUGAUGGGGUAAUUGAGGGCAGCUACUCUCAGUAACAUUGAACCCGAUAGCACAUAGUGAAGACUCAUUAUCUUUAUCAAUGAUGUGUCAGUUGGAGGUAAAAAUUAGGUCCUUUUCAAUAUCCAGUGGUGACUGUGCUCCUAGGAAGAUCAGCCAAGGAUACACAGUCCGAAAAGUUUAUAGCUUAGGUAGGUAGGAUUAAGUGCAGUGCCUCUCUAGUACACACCUGGAUGUGACUCUUGUGUCCACAUGUUUUUCAAACCUGGCAGGAACAAUAACCCCAUUCAGAAAUGACUUCUAAAAAGGCUAUUUUUGCGGGCUUGCAGGCAUGCACUUGUAGCCCUAGCUACUCAGGAGGGUGAGGAGGGAGGAUUGCUUGAUCCCAGGAAUUCUGAGCUGUAGUGAGCUAUGCCGAUUGGAUUCCUGCACUAAAUUUGGCAUCAAUAUGGUGACCUCCCGGGCACGGGGGAUCACCAGGUUGCCUGAGGAGGGGUGAACCAGCCCAGGUCGGGAAUGGAGCGGGUCAAAACUCCCAUGAUGAUCAGUAGUGAGAUCAUGCCUGUGAAUAGCCAUUACACUUCAGCCUGGGCAACAUAGCAAGAAUCAAUCUCGCUCUCUCUCUUUUUUUUUUUUUUUAAAGAGCCAACCUUAGGAAGAAAUGCCUUUUUUUUUUUCUUUUUAAAGGACAUUUCUUCUAAGGUUGGCUUGUUUUAGGGAUAGCCAAACCUACAGGUUGUUCUAAUUGAUAUACUCAUCUCACCAACACUAAUGUUACUAUUGUUUUUAUUACAUUUCAAAGAGGUCAUCAAAUCAAUAAAAGUUCAGAACUUGGCAAGAAUGGCUAGCCAGUAAAUUCUAGACUUUCUCUUUGAACCCCCAUGUCUUACAAUGCAAGAAUGUAACCUCUUAAUUGCUCUAUUUGUAUUACAUUGUCAUCUUUGGACUUUCCUGGAUACCCUUGAUCUCUCUGGUAUUUCCUGUUAUGGUGAGUCUGUCCUAACAGCCUUAUUUAUAGACAUGUUUUUGCACAUUAACCACACUCCAUGGAAGAAGCCCUUUAACAUGAGACUUGUUCCUAAGUACUCCACUGGCUUACCAAGUAUAGGAUUACCCUUUGAUUACUUUAUCUGGCUACCAGGACAGAGAGAUUCUUGGGAGCCAACCAGCCAUCAGGUCAACUAUUUUGCUACAGAUACUGCUUUCUGGGUUUAGUCCCCUGUACUUUCAGGUCUUCAGCCUCAGUUUGACUUCCUGGCUUCUUCAGUGAGGAUUUUAGAGUUAUGUCAGGUGAGGAAUCAAUCCAUCCAGUCUGAAAUGUUGCUGGGAGGAGGGCUGUCUUUCUGUAACAGGGGAAAGUUUUAUUUAUUUGAACUACAGAAUAAGUUAUAGACUAUAAUGCAUUGUACAAUUGUUUGAUUUUAAAGAAAACUCAUUAUAGCUUUACUGUUCCAAAACUGAACAUCUUAUGUCUGCAUUCCUAUUUAUUUAUGAUCUACUCUGGGCCUUGCAGAUAUUCUGUUUCCUGGGUCCUCUAGCAAGUUAAUUAUUGGUAUUAAUCAUCUAACAAAUUAGUUAUUAAUGUACAUUGUACAGAUAAGUGUGAAUUGGAGAGAAUAAUUUUAACAAGAUCAGAAUGCCUUCCAGUUCAAUUUGAAUUCGAAGGCUUAAUUCAUGGCAUUUUAUAGUUCAAAGAAAGCUUUGAAUUAUUUUGGAUAUACUAACAUAUAUUACAGGAAGAGAAGUAUGGAUAAAUUUCCCAAUAGUUGCCUAGCAGAAGUAUAUACUUAGUAUAUGACUUACCAAGAGAGUGAUCACGAGUGAUUUAGGGAGCACUUUGUAGGUUUCCCCUAUUUACCUUUAGCCUUUUACCACAUCACCAAUGACCUCUUAUUUUCAUACUGUCUAUAGAAUUAAGUUAGUCUGCCCAAGAAGUCACUUUGUUUGACCCUGGUCCCAGUGCAUUCCCAAAUAUCAGGGAUUAUAUUCCCUUACUUUUACCUGGGCAUUGGAUGCCUCAUGUUCCCUUAUAUCAAACCUUAAAGGUAGCUUUUAGGCAGAAUCUGGUAGUGCUCUUGUGUCCUGAGGGUAGGACAAUAGAAGAAAAACUCAUUUGGCAUUAGACUUUUUCAUGGUGCUUAUUUGGAAGACCUUCUUCAUCUUCAGAAUAUUGAUCCAAGUCCUUUGGGGCCACUGCUACUGUCAGAGUUGUUUUGAGUUUGGCAGUACCUCUCCAGAGCCUCAAGGUAAGGGACAUGUGGUUUGAGAAGUGGAAUACAAGUCCAUAAUCUAUACAAUACUAGAGCUUAAUAGAUGAUUACUUUAUUACCUUGAUUAUACCCAUCAAUUUUUAGGUGUGAACAUUGAGAUCUGGGGUUGGGUGUAGGGUGGCUUGUGUGGGCUUCCCCAGGCUAGAUUGAAAACUCAAACAAACUGCAUAUACCCUUCUAUUACUUUUGUUUUUGGAGUUUAAGAAGUUUUAGAGUCUUGGCUUCUCAUUUAUUAUAUAACAAAAGGGAAAUAAAAAGUAGGAGUGGGAUAGUGUAUAGCUGGUAAACAUCUCCUGUAAUACAAGUGCUGAUGUUAUUGGGAAUUUUAUUUGAAAGUUUUUGGGAAGGGGAGAUAGUUAAGGGUAGGGCCCUGAGGGUUUGGGACAGGAGGGAAGGGAAGGGAUGGAGGAUCUAUCUGUAAUCUGUUUCAAAGAAGGAAAAACUGCAUAGUGCUUUGAAGAAAUUGGGCAUCAGUCCAAGAAGAAAUGUGAUGCCAGCAGCCAUCUUCACAUCACCCCCAAGCCUGUUCCCCUAUCUUGCUGGCAAGUCAUAGCCCUACUUUUACCCCCUUUUGCUGGUUUCAUGUAUUUUGAGGGUCAGCAAUUGUCCAUGCGCUGGGUGAGUUCAAACACUGUGUGAGGGACCACUUGGGUUUAGGACACGGGAACUAUGUGGAAGGGAUGGUUUCUUGUGAUAUGGGGCUGUGGUGUCUGUGUGAUGGGGAGCAUCAGAGAAGGUGUUUGGGGCAGCAUGGAGGGAAGGGUGCAUAUCCUGUAAGAAUCAGGGGACAGGGUUUCAUAACCUAUCAUGUGCCCAGAAAGUCAGGAAUGGCUGCAGUUCUAUUACCAAGCCCUGACAAGCAGCCAUUUUGGUUAUUAGCAGUGACUUUUAAAAGUUUCUCCUUUGCAACUUUACUAUUUCACUUUCAACCUGCUCAGUAUGUUGAAAAUGAAGUUUAUGGACUAUCUUUAUAUAAAAGUCGCAACUUGUAAUGCCUCCAUUAUUAUAUGCAGGCUUUCUCUUUGCCCCUUCCUUGGCUUCUAGUGCCGUGUUGGGGUUGAUGGGCCAGCCUGCGUCCUGUGAGUGUUUUCUGAAUACUUAUUAUUGUGUUCAAUUUUUUGAUUGAUGGGAGAGGGGCAGAGGGACUAAAAUGGGGAUUGGGCUGUGUAUAUUCCUAAAGUUUUCUUGUGGUUUUCACAUGUUCCAGAUAAUCUUAGUGUUUGGUAAGUACAGGACAUUUAAGCAACAAACACAACUACAGACAUUAGAAGUCAUCUGCUUCAGCAAGACUUUAAGCACUUCCUAUAUUCCAUGUUUUACACUUGAGGGUACAGUUAAGAAAAGUUAACUUACUGAGAAGUUUCUUUGAUCCUGAAACUAUAUUCACCUGAUACAGGAAACCAGUCUUCUUCAAAGGUGAUGAGAAUGCCUUGACAAGAUGAUAGGGACCAGCACUGUACAUUUGUUCCCAAGGGAAUACUGCAACAUGCAGGCACAGCCCUUGGUCACCUAAUACAUGUAUUUGUGAAAUUCCAUGGGUUCCCUUAAGUUGGGAGCUAAAAGGGUUAGCUUUGGGUUAGCUGUGGUUUUCACUAGUUUCUGCUUGACAGGAUCAGAAGACUGCCGAGACAGAUACUGCUAUGCUGAAUUUUUCAUGUUCAUCUCAGGGACUCACUGCAUACUAUUUUUUAACUACAUGUGCUAUUCAGAGUUAGGAGAUCUUGGAUGGGACUCCAAAAUAAAUGAUUUAAGAAAUUCCAUACCUUACAUUAGGACCAGAGCUUGUAGUAAAGGAUGUUGUGAUAUGGUUUUGACCCAGAAGGAUGCUUUUGGGUAUCAUCCUCAAGAAUGUCUGCAAAAGGUUUUCAGUGAAGACAACAAAGAAUACCUGUGCUUUCACUGGGAGGAGGAAUGAGCCUGAUGGUAGUAGUGCCUUUUGCUUGUGGUACAUGUAGCCAAAAGAGCUCUGUGAUGCCAACAAACAUUGAGAAAGGUAAUCUUUGGUCACUGCCAGCUGGAUUGGCCAGUGCACCUUGUAUUCAGUACUCUAUAUUGAAGUAUCUGUCCUUUGACUGUAUGCGGUGCUUAUUGUACUUAGUUUUUAGGGCCCUGAAAGCUUUCUUUGCACUUACUGGUUCAAAUCCCAACAUCAACUACAUGUUAAAAGCAGUCAGGAAAAGAAUGAUUUGGCUUAUUUUAAGCUUUAAGCAUAACAUACUGACAGAGCUUAUGAAUAUAUAUACAAUAAAAUUUAUAUAAUAAUAUAAAUAUAUAACUAGCUUACACAUCUUAAAAUUUAGAUCCAGCACACAAAAUAACAUUUUAAAGCUAAAUACUUUGGAUUUUAUGCAUGAGGGAACUACAAACUGCACACUUUCCACAAGGGAGGGAAUAAAUACUUUUUUCUGUGUCCUUGGAGUGUGGGUGGGAUUCGUGGAUACAUUUCUCUGGUUCACUAUUUCAAUGAUAUGAAGGAGCCUCAUGUUGCAGCACAGAAGAUUUUUCAUCGUUGGAAGUUAAGGUUAGUUCACCUUCAUUGAUUCCUCCCUACACUGGACUAAAGCAUUUAAUCUAGAAACACUUAGGUCUCUAUAUAGCUUGUCAUAAUCUCUAUGCAUAGAAAGGGGCUUUCUAGAACCUGUCAGCAUAUUGUGAAAUAUCUCCUAUAUCAACUGAUAAUAAGAAAUCAGAAUUGCUUAAUUGUGGCAUUAAUAAAGUAUCACCUAGAUUGAACUAAGCAGGAAAAUUUUAGAUGAGAGUUUACCAUCACAAGCAAUAAACACACAACAGUCCCUGAAUCCUAAAAAGGUGGAGUUCUUGAUGGUAUUAGUGCGUAUCUUCAAAUUAUUUGCUCUCUGGAAAGAUGCUGAUAAAAUUUUGUCCACUACCAUAGUAUCCCUGCUGGAUGGGAACCAUAUCUUUACAAUAGACUCUCCACCCAUUGGCAAGGUGAUAGCUGUAAGGACAGUCACCUUGCAAGUGGGCAUGAAGCUGUUAAUUUUUUUUUUUUUUUUUGUCAACUGAGGUUUUUCUGCUAUGGUUCUGAACCAUUUACCUGAUAGACUGGGUUAUAUAUUCCCAGUUAACCACUACUGGGUUAAGUGACCUAAUGAUAUUAGUAGCCACUUAAUUAUUUUCAAGCAUUCUGCCUAGGACAUCGUUUCAUAAAAUUAAGGUUUAACAGACUGAAUCCCAACAUUAGUAGUAUAACUAAAUUCUCUCAGGAGCUUUUUAUGAAUGCCUUAGUAGUACUUUGGCUUCUUGAAGAGGAGCUAAUGCCAUAACCCUUUUUAAAUCAUCCAUCUGCAGCUGGGCAUGGUGGCUCACACCUGUAAUCCCAACACUUUGGGAUGCUGAGGUCGGCGGAUCACAGGGUCAGCAGUUCAAGACCAGCCUGGCCAGCAUAGUGAAACCCUGUCUUCACUAAAUACAAAAAAAAAAUUACCCGGGUGCGGUGGCGAGUGCCUGUACUCCCAGUUACUUGGGAGGCUGAGGCAGGAGAAUCACUUGAACCCGGGAGGCAGAGGUUGCAGUGAGCCGAGAUCAUGCCACUGCACUCCAGCCUGGGCGACACAGCGAGACUCUGUCUUAAAAAAUAAUAAAUUGUCCAUCUGCUCCUGUUAUACAUGUUGAUAUAUGCUGCUUUGCAGUUGCAUUGUCAACAUCCAUUCCCAGAUUAUUGCUGUCCUGAAGUAGGAUAAACAUUUUAAGUAGUGCUACUCUAUCUUCUAGCUUCACUGGUUACUUUUUAAAUUUUAUGUGGAGACAAGGUUUUCUUGCUAUGUUGCCCGGGGUGGUCUCAAACUCCUGUGCGCAAGCUAUCUUACCACCUGGGCUCCUCAAGUGCUAAGACUACAUUACAGGGGUCAGCCACGGCACCUGCCCUGGUUUUUCAAAUUGGAUUUAACAUCCAAUUAGCAGCUAAACUCAGCAAAUGGGAUAUUUUGAUCUGUGUAUAAUUGAAAUUCCAAUUUUGGCUUCUCUGGACAAAAUGGGAAACAAUGGAAAUCUUUCAUAUGUAUUUGCAUGGCCUUGUCUUUUGGAAAUAACAGGUACAGUGCUGUCUUCUAAUGUUGAGACAGUAAAAUUUUAGUAAGAUUUUUCAGCUGAGGAAAAUACAGGAUCUUAAGGACUUCUUGGAGAUAGUAUUCAUGCUUUCUCAUAUACACAGUGAUAGGUGAAUUGUGUUUAGGGUUUUGUUUUGGGUUGGUUUUGGUGCAAUGUCUAAUUACAUUUGCCAACUCAUGUUACCUAGUAGGGAUAUUUCCAUUCUGUGCCAAUUGAUAUUUGGUACAGUGAAUGUACUCAAUAAAAUUAAAGGUUUGGUACUUGUUUUUGAGAUGGUGAACAACUAACGUGCAAAUCUGUAGUCCCUAAUGUAGCCUUUUGCUAUCUGACAUCUGUUUGACAUAUGCUUUGUCAAAUUGAUUCAACUCAAACUUGAAUACUUAUGUUUUGCCAAAUUUGUGUGAUCACAUUGUGUUACUAAUGUGUAACAUCAGCCUGUAACUUCAGCCACCUACUUUUUAUUUGUGGAUGCUGCUUAGAAACUUGCAAAUAACACUAUGAAUAUGUGGAGUUCCUUGACUGUCCACUCUGUUGUCCCUUUAGAGAGUACAUUACAUGCACAUUUCUUGUGUAUUUUCUAGUUCAAUUAGAAUUCCUCCGUUCUUUCCAGCCAAUUAUAAAGGUUUUAAAGGAACUAUUCAAUGCAAUGUAUUUCCAUAAGUUUAGUACCUAUGUACUUUUUCUUGGGAGUGGGGAGUUGGCGAGGGGAGUCAUGAAUUUUUGGCAAUGUUAAGUAGUAUCUUAUUGCCCAUAUUUUUCGCAUGUCUAAAUGCCAAAUUUUGUGAUGUAUUUUGCACAAAUAACUCAUUACUCUGAAUCUUAAGUAGUGCUUUAUUUGCCCUCACAAUGUUGCCCUUUAUAAAUUGAUAAAUUUAUGAAAAAAGAAAAUUCCUCUUAAUAUAACACUUCAGCAACAUUGGAAAUCAAUUAUUCAAUAAUAAAGACAUUUGAUGAAGCAACCAACAUUUUUGCUUUAAGUGUAGAGGUAUAUAUGCUUUGAUCCUUUAGCCUGAAUGUUUCAUAACCAAAUUUGAUUUCUUAACCAUUGUCAUUUGCAAGUAAUUUUAGAACUCCCUCCCCUGUAAUGGUAGCAUGUAUUUAUCUAGCACAUUUGUAAUCUUAAAAUUUUUAAUUUGGUGCUUCUUCAGGGACUUGGUAAUGAAUCAACUGGAAGUUUUGUACUAAAUUUGUCUACACAGCAGCGCUCUUUAGCUGGUGGCAUAGAGUCCAAAGUUAAGAAUCUGUAUCUGCUCCUAAUUAAUAGAAAUAUCAUUCUUGUCCUACAGACAAAAAUAGUUUUUAUAAGGACUUUUGACAAAGUAUAUACAGUAUAGGUGAAUUUAGUCAAAAAUAUUUGCCAGAUUCUCUUGGUUCUCAUAUGGCCAUUUGUUCAAUCCCAGUAGCUCCAGGAUAAUAGUGUUCAGUUUUCAUAGGUUGUAAUAUAUUGGGCCUUUCCAGAUUUGUUGUGGAAUUCUGGACAGUUGAUGUCUAAUCACAAGUUCUGUGGUACAUAAUUUGUACCAUGCAGUGUUGCAUUUUGCUGAUAUAGAUGGUUGGAGGUUCAUGUGAGUUUAGGAAAUCAGUUCCAUUAGCACUACAGUUUAAUGGCUCAGUGCUAUUUGCCCAGAAAUAUAUUGAAAUUGGUAGAGACCUUCAAAGUUUUAAAAUGUAAUUUUUUAUUGUACACUGGUACUGUAAUUCUUUGGUUCCCUGUUGUCUCAUUACAGUUAUGCCCUUUUAAAGUCCUCUAAAAUUAAGGGCCCUGUAGAAGUGAUGGUCAACUCUAUUUUCCAUAUGAAUUAUUAGAUUUGGUGCUGUCUUGUGAAGUAACUUGAUACGAUAGAUGUGUAGUAUGAAUUUUGUCCACAUGGUUGUGCCCUUGGCAGAACUGCACGUACCUGAAAUGGUUCCCUAAUUUUUUUCUAGUAUUACUAUCCAACACUUCCUCUCAUAAUCACUAGUGUAUUGUAUAAUUGUUAAGUGUCCUUUAUUCAUAUAUUUAAAUUAAAAGAGUACUCUGGUAGGAUUUUGAGGGCCAAUAGUGUAUUUCCACUGUUUGAGGUAUUAGGAGGGCUAUUUACUGAUACCUGUAGUGCCUUCCCAUUCUGUUUAUCAUGCACCUCUAAAUUUUGUGACUUCCUGUUGCACUAAGCAAUGAUAAUGGAAAUUCACUAGUAAUUGAUUAUUUAUAGUUUGUGAUAGUGGCAUUGGUAAUAUUGCCCUUCAGAGAUUAUUACUCCAGUAGCUAUCUAGUUUGCUGUUCUAUUAGUAAACCAACAUUAAUGUAGCUUUCUUGAGGGCAUUGUGAUUUUUAGCUAUUGUGGUAGGUUCUGAUAUGUAGUUUUGCUUGUAUGAUUUCCUUGUUUAUAGCUCAGUUUUUGUUACAUGGUAUGUGAAGUAGUAGGCUUGACAUUAGCUGUAUACAACACAUAAACUAGAUUUUUCAUCCUUGAACCUUGAAACUCCAAGGAGCUGUCCAGAUUUGCGUACUCUAUUGGAAUAAAAAGACUAGAAAGAAGCAUUGUUAUGGAAACCUUGCAGUACUCAGUUCACCCAAAAGACCUUUUAGAAAUGUUAGUUCACCAUUCCCAUCAGAAAUUUGAUUAUAGGAAGAUCAUAACAAUAUAAUCUGAUCUCCUUACUAUAGAGGCAAAAAAUAUAUUCAGUUAAAAGCUGUUUACAUAUAAUGUCAUUUUAUUUCCACACGAAGGUGACAUCUUAAAAUCGGUCAGUGUAAUUAUAUUAAAGUGGCUAAUUUCCUGUACAGUAAUUUCCUCCACCACUUAUCUAUGGGCGAUAGGUUCUAAUUCUCCUGGUGGAUCCCUUAGACUGGAUAGUACCGAACCCUAUAUGUUUUUAUCUACACAUACAUACUUGUGGCAAAGUUUGAGGUGUGACAGCAAAACUAGCACGAAUUUCUUUUUCCUGCACAAUUUCUCAAACUCCUGAGUUCAAAUGGUCCUCCCACCUUGGCCUCCCAAAGUGCACUUAGAAAAUUUGUUACUGCAACCUCAGUAUACAAUUUUUUUUUCCUUAUUCUGUUGAAAAUGUUCGCCUUUUUACUAAAGGAAGCAUUUUGUGGCUUCUCUUUGGCACGUCUGUAUUGAUGGCAUCACAGCUCUUAUAUUGGGGUCAUUGUUAAGCACUGUGUUACUGCAGCAGUCAAUCUGAACUGAGAAGGGUGCUAAGUGACUAAUGGAUGGUAGCAUAUAAUGUGGGGUAUACACUGGAAAAAGGGGUGAUUCUUUUUGCUGGACAGUUUGAGAUUUCAUUACAUUACUCUCAACGGCAGACAAUUUGGAAUUUAUGAAUUGUUUAUUCUUGGAAUUUUCCAUAUAAUGUUUUUGAACCACGUUUGACCCCAGGUAAUAGAAACUUUGUAAAGGAAAACCAUAGAUAAGGGGAGAAUACUGUAACGUUAGGCUUCUUUCCCCCCAUUUCUGUUUUAUUUUGUUUCCCUUAUUGUCAGAAAGUAUGUUCAGUAUGGCCUCCUUGUGUACACAAAGUAAUUUUUGGUGGAAAAGAAAGUACUACCAUUAGUCCACAGCAUGUCCUUCUGAAAUUAUGUUGGAUGCUUGUUAUCAUGGAUUUGGUUCUCAUAGGGAUAUUAAUACAGUACCCUAGUCAGUGUGUUAGUGAGCCAAAAAUAUGUUUGAAAAUGUUCAUGGAUGUUUGCGUCUUUUUUUUUUUUUUUUUUGGCUUGUUACAAGUUCUGGUUUAUAGGUUUUGACAUCCUUUGCAUUGUUGGAAGUGUGCCCAGUGUUGCUACCUAAUUUGUGGAAAUUCUGUAGUACCACCUUAGUCCACAGUGCGUCCUUCUGAAUAGUUGCAUAGCUUGCAUAACUAAUUUGGUGUGAAAUUCUAGAGUGAAAACUAAUAUGGUAACCUAAUCACUGUGCUAUGUUGAGGAUUUCCAAGGGUGCAUGAUGUAUUUUACGCAUUUUUCUAAUUACAAUUCCUGGCUUAUAGACUGCAUAGGUAUUUAAUAUUGUCUAGUAAAGUGUGUUGAUGUACAAUUUCUUGUUUAAUUCAGUACUAUUAUUAGCUACAUGGUUCUGCUUUAUCGUUGCCAUUAAACUAAAUAUAUACUGAUUAUUUUCAUCAGGCACCAGCGUUAAUGUGUUUCUCCUAAGUGAGUUGACCUCAUGGGAAUUCAUCACAUCUGUGGACUAUAUUUUAGUGUUAAAGGCUUAAUGUACUACUGUUUCAAAACUUACAAGUAUUGGUAUUUCACAUGCUUUUAAAAGUACUGUUGUACUUUUUUUUUUUUUUUAAGACAAGGUCUCUCUGUCACCCAGACUGGAACAUGGUGGAGCAAUCAUAGCUGAUGGCAGCUUUGAACUCCUGGGCUCAAGCCAUCCUCCCGCCUCAGCCUCCUGAGUAGCUGGGACUACAGGUGUGCACUACCAGCCCAACUAUUUUAUUUUAUCUUAUUAUUUUAUCUGAGACAGCAUCUCGGUAUGUGACCCAGGGUGGUAUCAAAGUCAUGGGCUCAAGUGGUCCUCCCACCUUGGCCUCCCAAAGUGCUGGAAUUACCACACCUGGCCUACAUGUUGUAGUUUUGUUGCAGUAAGUUCAGUUGACUUUUGUUAAAUGUACCCCAGUAAGCACAUGCCCUGUGGUAAGUCCUGUUGUGUAAUAAAAAACAUGGUAUGUAUCAAUGUGCUUUUCCUAUAGUUGUCCUCUGUCUUCCCAGGUUUUUUUUUUUUUUUUAAACAGUCAUCUAGGGUCCAUAAAUAUGAUGCAGUAAUGAGUGAUGGUUUAGUUUUGCUGGUGUUCUCUAGCAGCCCCUAUUAUAUACUUCACAGUAUUUUCAUUCUCAUCUCACUUCUGGUUUCAAAAAUAAUUUUUUUUCAUGGCAAAAUUUGUUUAGGUAGUGUGCUUUAGUGUUGUCACCUGGUGGUUCAGCACGUUAUAGUGCUUUACACGUGUAACUUCAUUGUUUACCUUUAAUUCAACGUUGCUAUUUAGAAAGGGUGCAUUCCAAUAGUAUUAACCACUUAACCCAUUGCCACUCCAAUUGGCUGUCUGGAAUUUUUUCUGUUGGUAAAAUGUUAGUUAUUAAGAGUUGCUAACCAUAGGUUGAAUGGUUCCUGAGGUACUUUAACUUGCCAUAUUAUGAAAGCACAGCCCAUGAUUUGUCAUACUGCAAAGAUUGACUUAACUACUUUAACAAGAAACGUAUUCCAGAAUUUUAUCGUGGUGUGCAGUCAUUGCUUCUAUCUUGCUGUCCUUUAUUAAAUAGUAUUAAUUUACACCAUAGUCACCAAGAAGACUAUAUUUUGGUAGGCUUUGGGGUUUAUCUGCCUGCAAGAAAAUUUAUUUUCCACUGCUUUAUACUGGUAAUUAGAUAUUAUUGUACUUUCAAAUCUUUCACUGAAAAAUAUCUAGUUAGGUCAGCAUGCCCUAUGUAUUGUAGAUGCGGUUCUGCUAUGGUUUUUCACCACCGGUGGUUGAAUGUAGGGUGGUACCUUUAUCUAGUUUUGAGUUUCUUUAGUGACUCAUUUUUGCAGUCUUACAUCUGCUACUCCUCUAUUAGAUUAUUAUUUAGCCCAAAAGUAUUAUGGGAUCAUUUGACUUCAUGGCGUCACUGGAAAACUUAAAUGUUCUGUUGGAUGAAAGUGUUUCACUUAUAGUACUAAUCGCCAUGUGGUAUUCCUUUACUUUCCCUAACAUUUGCUUGUUUGUUUUUAUUGUGUAUCUACAUGUAUUGAGUAGUUAGGUGCUUGUACAAAUCUUCUACCUUCACUCAUGGUCAAUCAACUGUAAACCUUACCUGGGGCCAACUUGCCAAAGGUUUUACAGUUAACAAAUGGUAUUUGAAAUUUGUAGUAAGAGUAAAUGCUUUGGAGUAGGAAUGCCUAUCUCAGCAAUCCUGCUAAGCACUAUACUCUGGAUAAGGUAAUUACCUUCUUUUGUAGAAAAGAACUCGUGAUAUAAUUCAUAUAAUAUAAAGUUCACCAUUUUAAAGUUUAGUGACUUUUAGUAUAUUCAUAGAGUUGUGCGACCAUUGCCACUAUUAUAGUUUACAACACUUUCAUCACCACCUCAUUAGCACUUAUUCCCUAUUUCCCUUUUGCCAACCCUGACAACUACUAAUUUAGCUUUUUGUCCCUAUGGAUUUGUCUAUUCUGGGCAGUCAUAUAAAUCAUGCAAUUUCUUACCCUUGUUACUGGCUUCUUUUAACUACCAUGUUUUUUUGAGAUUCAUCUAGAUUAUGGUAUAUAUUACUGUUCUUUAUUGAUGAAUAAUAUUUCACUGUAUGGAUAUAUUUCAUUUUGUUUAUCCAUCAUUUGACGGAUGUUUGCAUUUACAGAUGUUGUCUUUUGUCAGUAAUGGUGCUAAAAACAUUCAUGUACAACAUUUUAUGUGGGCAUGUUUUCAUUUUUCUUGAGUAUACAUUAAGGAGUAUAAUUGCUUUGUCAUGGCAUGUCUAGGUUUAAUGUUGUGGGUAAUUAACAAAUUUUAAUAAGGUGCCUGCACCAUUUUACAUUUUCAUCUGCAAUAUGAGGAAUUACAUUUAUUCAUAUUCUCACUUGUUAUUUUCUGCCUUUUAAAAUUAUGGCCACCUAGUGGAUAUGAAAUAUCUUAUUGUGCUGUUGACUUGUAUUUCUGCAUUGAGCAACUUUUCAUGUGCUUAGUGGUAAUUUGUGUAUCUUUGGAGAAAUGUCUGUUCUAAUCCUUUGCUCAUUAGAAUUGGGUUAUAUGUGGUUUUGUUGUUAUCAGAGUUCUUUAUAUAAUCUGGAUAACAGACUCUUAUUGGAUACAUGAUUUACAAUUAUUUUCUUCCAUUCUUUGUAUUGCCUUUCCACCUUUUUGAUGACAUUGUUUAUAGCACAGAAGUUUUUAAUAUUGAUGAAAUCUAAUUUAUCUAUUUUUUUUUGUUAGUUGUGAUUUUAGUGUCAUAACAAAGAAACCAUUACCUGACCUAAGUUGUAGCUCUUACAUUUAGGUGUGUGAUUCAUUUGGAAUUUACUUUUGUAUAUAGUUUAAGGAAGAAGUCCAACUUAGUCCCUUUGCAUAUGGAUAUCCAGUUUUCUCAGCACCAUUUGUUGAAAAGACUACUUCAUCAUUGAAUUGUCUUGGUACCCUUGUUGAACAUCAGUUGAUUCUAAAUAUAAGAGUUUAUUUUGGACUCUCAAUUUUAUUUUAUUUAUCUCUAUAUCUAUCCUUAUGCCUGUACUACACAGUAUUGAUUAUUGUAGCUUUGGAGUAAAUUUCAAAAUCUGGAAGUAUGAGUUCUCCAGCUUUGUUCUUUGCUUUGGCCUUGAUUAUUCUGAAGGCUUUGAAUUUCCAUAUGAAUUUUAGGAUCAGCUUGUAAAUUUCUAGAAAAUGCCAGAAUUUUGCUAAGGAAAGCAUUUAAUCUGUAGAUCAAUUUGUGGAGUAUUGCCAUGUUAGAAAUAUUAAUAUUCCCAAUCCAUUAACAAUAGAUACCUUUCUAUUCAUUUUAUUUUUCAUAAUAUUGAAAAUGGAAUUAUUUUCCUAACUUUAAUUUUGGAUUGUUCAUUGCUAGUGUAUUAAAAUACAAUUAGUUUUCUGUUGAUCUUGUAUCCUCCAAUGUUUCUGAACUUAUUGGAAAAGCUUUUCUAAUAGUUUCACUAUUAGCAUUUUUUUGUGGAUUCCUCUGGGUUUUUAUGUUUAUGUCACCUAUAAAUAUAGAUAGUUGUACUCUCUUUCCAAUUGCAUUGAUUUUUUUUAUUUCUUUUUCUUGCCUAAUCACCAUGGCGAAAACCGGCACAGAAGUAGCAAGAGCAGUCAUCCUUGACUUGUUUCUGACUAGGGGUAAUACAAUUAGAUUUUGACUAUUAAAUGAUGUUAGCUGUAUGGUUUUUUUUUUCUUUUUCUUGCCUAGGUUCACAGAGCUAGCUAUACAGUAUUUGUAGAUACCCUUUGUCAAAUGUAGAUAGAUCCCUUUGUUCCUAGUUUGUUGAGGAUUUUAAAAUUAUAAAUGAAUUUUGUCAAAUGGCUUUUUUAUGUCUGUUGACACAAUCAUGAGGUUUUAUCUUUGUUCUAUAAAUACCAUGCAUAUGUAAAUAUCAUGUAUUGAAUUAAUUGGGGAAGUGUUUCCUCCUGUAAUAUUUUUUGAAAAGUUAUGUAAAUAACUGAUGUUUAUUAUUUAAACGUUUGCAGAAUCAUCAGUGAAGUCAUCUGUUCAUGAAUGUUUCUUUAUGGGAAUUUUGUAGAUUAACCAUUCAAUCUGUUUUUUUUUUUUUGAGACGGAGUUUCACUCUUGUUACCCAAGCUGGAGUGCAAUGGCGCGAUCUCGGCUCACUGCAACCUCCGCUUCCCGGGUCCAAGCUAUUCUCCUGCUUCUGCCUCCCGAGUAGCUGGGAUUACAGGCAUGCGCCAUCACUCCCGGCUAAUUUUGUAUUUUUUAGCAGAGACAGGGGUUUCCCCAUGUUGGUCAGGCUGGUCUCGACCUCCUGACCUCAGGUAAUCUGCCCGCCUCAGCCUCCCAAAGUGCUGGGAUUACAGGCUCGAGGCACCGUGCUCGGCCUUCAAUUCUGUUUUUGUAAGUAUUCAGGUUUUUUUUCUUGUGUCAGAUUUGGUUGUUUGUGUCUUCCUAAAAACAAACAUUUUGUAUAAGGUAUCUAAUUGGCAUACUGCUUUUGAUGGUAUUCCUUUCUAAUUCUUUUAUUUUCCUAUAACAUUGGUGAUAAUGUCUUUUUUAUUCUGAUUUUAUAUGUGUUUUCUCUGUUUUUCAUCUUUGGUCUAGCUACAGAUUUGUUCAUUUUUAAAAUUAUUUCGAGAACCACAUUUGCUUUCCUUAAUUUUCUGUUUCUCUGUUUUUUAAAUUUAUUUUUACUCUAUUUUUUAAAUUAUUUUCUUUGUCCUAAUCAAUUUUUUUUUUUUUUUUUUUGAGACCAAGUCUCACGCUGUCACCCAGGCUGGAGUGCAGUGGCGUGAUCUUGGCUCACUGCGACCGCUGCCUCCUGGGUUCAAGCAAUUCUCCUGCCUCAGCCUACUGAGUAGCUGGGACUACAGGCACAUGCUGCCAUGCCUGACUAAUGUUUUGUAUUUUAGUAGAGACGGGGUUUCGCUGUGUUGCCCAGGCUGGUCUUGAACUCCUGAGCUCAGUCAGUUCACCUGCCUCAGCUUCCCAAAGUGCUAGGAUUACAGGUGUCAGCCACUGUGCCUGGCCCCUAAUCAAUUUUAGUUUGAUCUUUUCCUAAUAUCUCAAAUUGGAAAGUUAGCUUAUUUAUUUGAGAUCUUCAUUUCUAAUGUAGAUGGUCACAGUUUUACUUUUCCCUAUAAGCACUGUUUUUGCUGCAUUCCAUAAAUUUUAUGUUUUGUUACAUUUUCACUCAUCUCAAAGUAUUUUCUAAUCAUUUUUGGGAUUUCAUUUUUAAUCCAUUGGUUGUUUAGGAGUUUGUUGUUUAAUUUACACAUAUUUGUUUGUUUAUUUUGAGACAGAGUACCACUCUGUUGCCCAGGCUGGAGUGCAGUGGUACAAUCAUGGCUCAUUGCAGCCUUGACCUCCUGGGCUCAAGUGAUCCUCCUGCCUCAGCCUCCUGAGUAGCUGGGACUACAGGCAUGUGCCACCACACUUAGAAUUUUUUUUUUUUUUUUUUUUUUGGUUGAGAUGGGGUCUCGCCAUGUUUCCCACACUGAUCUUGAACUCCUGGGCUCCAGGAAUUCUCCUACUUUGGCCUCCCAAAGUGUUGGGAAUAUUGGCAUGAACCACAGCACCUGACUUGCAUAUUUGUGAAUUCCCCAAAUUGCUUUUUUUAAAUUGAUUUCUAAUUUCAUUUCAUUGUUAUGGGGAACAUACUUUGUAUGGUUUCAAUGUUUUAAAAUUAAUUGAGACUUGUUUUAUGACUUAGCAUAUGGUCUGUGUUGAAGAAGGCUCCAUGUACACUUGAGAAUAAUAUGUAUACUGUGGUUGUUGGGUGGAUUUUCUAUGUAUGUUUAGGUGAUAUGGUUUUAUAGUGUUGUUUAAGUCUUCUAUUUUCUUCUUUUUCUGCCCAGUUUUAUUUUUGAAAGCAUACUGAGGUCUCCAACUCAGUGCCUUAGCCUCCUGAGCAGUUGGGACUACAGGCAUACGCCACUACACCCAGCAAUUUUUUUGUAUUUUUCUGUAGAGACAGAAUUUCACCAUGUUGCCUAAGCUGGUCUCAAAUUCCUGGACUCAAGUGAUCUCGAUUCCCGGCCUCUGCCUCCCAAGGUGCUGGGAUUGCAGGCAUGAGCUACUAUGCCUGGCAAAUUUUAUUUUUCCUUUUAUUUUGUCACAUAAUUAAAGCUACUCCAGAAUUCCCUUGAUUUCUGCUUGCCUGGUAUAUCUUUUUUCCAUUUUUUAACUGUCAGCCUUUUUUGUGCCUGUUAAUCUAAAGUAUGUGUUUCGUAGAUAAUAUGUAGCUGGAUCAUAUUUUAAAAAUAUUUAUUCUGCCAAGCUCUGUCUUUUGAUUGGAGUAUUCUUUCAUUUAUGUUUGUAAUUACUGAUGAGGGGGGCACUAAUGUCUGCUGUUUUGCUAUUUGUUUCCCCAUGUCUUAUGUCUUCAUUACUGACUUUUUUAUUAAACAACUAUUUUCUUGGGUACCAUUUUAAGUCCCUCUCCCACUCAUUUUUUAAUGUUUUUUUGUGUUUACUUUUGUUUUUAUUGUUUGCCCUGAUAUUAAAAUUAACAUUUUACCUUGAAAUAGUUGGCUUCAGAUUAAUAUCAACUUAGUUUCAAUAGCAUAGGAAAUUUGCUUCACUAUAUUUCCAUUUUCUCCCCGUCCUUUGUGCUAUUAUUACUAUACCAAUUAGAUCUCUACACAAUAUAGGCAUAUCAACACAUUUUGUAAUUAUUUCCUUAUCCAGUUGUCUUUUAAUAUAGAUCUGUGAAGAAAAGUAUUACACAAAUAGAUCUAUUCUGUUUUUUAUAAUUAUUUAAUUACCUUUGGUGGUGCUGUUUAUUUUUCAUGCAUUUGAGUUACUGUCUAGUAUUCAUUCAUUUCUCUCUGAAUCACUCCCUUUAGUAUUGCUUGUAGGGCAGGUCUGCUAGCAUUGAAUUCUUUUAAUUUUUGUGACUCUUCAAAUGCCAUAAUUUCUCUUUUGUUUGUGAAGGAUAGUUUUGCUAGAUACAGAAUUUGCAGUUGGCAUUCUUUUUACUUUAGCAGUUUGAAAAUAUUUCCCAUUGUUGGCCGGGCACAGUGGCUCACACCUGUAAUCCUAGCACUUUGGGAGGCCGAGGCAGGCGGAUCAUCUGAGGUCAGGAGUUCAAGACCAGCCUGGCCAAUAUGGUGAAACCCUGUUUCUACUAAAAUAUAAAAAUUAGCUGGGCAUGAUGGCAGGUGCCUCUAAUCCCAGCUACUCAGGAGGCUGAGAUGGGAGAAUCGCUUGAACCCGGGAGAUGAUGGCUGUGGUGAGCCGAGAUAGCGCCGCUGCACUCCAGCCUGGGCGGCUGAGUGAGACUCCAUCCCCGAAAAAAAAAAAAGAAAAGAAAAGAAAAAGAAAAAAGAAAAAAAAUUAUUUCCCAUUGUUUUCUGGUCUCUGAUUUAUGAUAAGAAGUCAGCUGAUUAUCUUAUUGAAGAUCAGUUAAAUGUGAUGUUUUUUAUUUUGUUUUUUCUCUUGCUGAUUUCAAAAUUUCUUUCUGACAUCUGGCUUUGAUGAUGUUACUACUAUGUGUAAAUUUGAAUGUCUUUGAGUUUAUUUUUAAGACAGGGUUUGGCUCUGUUGCCCAGGCUGGAGUGCAGUGGCACAAUCGCAGCUCACUGCGUCCUCCACCUCCCAGGCUCAAGCAAUCCUCCCACAUCAGCCUUCCGAGUAGCUGGGACUAUAGGUGUAUGCCACCACGCCCAGCUAAUUUUUGUUCUUUUUUUUUUUGGUAUAGACAGGGUUUUGCCAUGUUGCCCAGGCUGGUCUUGAACUCUUGGGCUCAAGUAAUCUGCUCACCUCAGCCUGCCAGUUUAUCCUUUCUGGCAUUUGUUGGUCUUGCACAUAUUGAUUAAUAUUUUUGAUCAGAUUUGGGAUUUGGGAGCCAUUAUUCAUUCACAUAUUUUUUCUGCCCCUUUUCUCUCCUCUCAUUAUGUUUGUUAUAUUUACUAAGAGUAAUUCUUUUUCAUUAUUUUAUAAUAAGAGAACUUAUGAUAGCAUUGGCUGAAUUUCCUAAGUAAUGUUCUUGUUUUGUUGUUUGCUAAAUAUGCUUGAUUAUAACUUAUAUUUAUUCUUUUACUCAAUAGUUAUUUAGUGUGAUGCUUCAUGUUGAGGAUUUCUGGCUUUCUUUUUCCUCAAAAAAAUCAUGUUUUUAUUUCAUUGUAAUGAGACAAUGUGGGUGCUGUCAUUUCCUACAUGCUUAGUUUUUAAUAACAACCUUAUGUUGCAGGACACAUCCCUCAUUCUUCUUUUUUCCAAAAUUUUAUCUCAUUAUCAUGUAGUUAUUUUAUGUGAACUAUAGAAACAGCUUGUCGAGUGUUCACAAAUAUCACUGGAAUUUAAAUUGGAAUGGCCCUGAAUUUGUAGAUUAAUUUUGGGAGAGCUGUCAUUUUUACAAUCUUCCCAUACAUUAAUGUAAUAUUUUUCUCCUUUUAUUCGGGUCUUCGGUAUCUGCGUAUGUAUAUUCUACUUAUUACUUUUAAUCUCCCCCAUUUUCUGGAAAAAAAAGAUGUCUUUGGAAGUGCAAUUCUGGUGGGAAAAGUGUAGAUGUCAUCUGCAUAGACUAGAGCCAAUCAGUAGGGAAUGUCAUUCAAAAUGUGUUUUGUGUUUGAUCUUACCAUUUCUUUCAAAUGUUCCUAGCAGCCUGCAUUAUUUAUAAUGUUCUGUAUUCCUGGUUUAGGUAAGUCCAGAGGUGAGAGCUGGUAUUAGGAAAAUGACAUAGUAAGGCAUUUGUUUUCAGUAAUGGCAGCAUCCGUUUGACCUCCUUUCCCAUUUGGAAGGGCUUUCUCCAUCCUGAAAGCUCCUGUAGACUUGGUGCUCUUUUUUUUUUUAGGAUUCAUACCAGUUGAAGACUUUCAAAGCCUUCAGUGUAACUGGUUAUGUUCUUACUAGAAAAGUAUUUAGGGCCAGGCGCAGUGGCUCAUGCCUGCAAUCCCAGCACCUUGGGAGGCCGAGGCAAGUGGAUCACUUGAGGUCAGGAGUUCGAGAUCAGCCUGGCUAACAUGGUGAAACACUGUCUCUACGAAAAGUACAAAAAUUAGCCAGUCGGGGUGGUGCGGGCCUGUAGUCCCAGCUACUCAGGAGGCUGAGGCAGGAGAAUCGCUUGAACCUGGGAGGUGGAGGUUGCAGUGAGCCGAGAUUACACCACUGCACUCCAGCCUGGGAGACAGAGAGAGACUCUGUCAAAAAAAAAAAAAAAGAAAGGAAGGAAGGUAGGUAGGUAGGUGGGUAUUUGGGGCCAGCUGGCCUGUAAUCCCAGCACUUGGAGGCUGAGGUGGGUGAAUCACUUGAGGUCAGGAGUUUGAGACCAGCCUGGCCAACAUGGUGAAACCCUGUCACUACUAAAAAUACAAAAAUUAGCUGGGCGUGGUAGUGCCACUUGUAAUCCCAACUACUGGGGAGGCUGGAACCUCGGAGGCGGAGAUUGCAGUGGGCUAAGAUCGUGCCACUCCAGCCUGAGUGAGACUCCAUUUCACAAAAAAAAAAAAAAAAAAAGAAAGGGAAAAAAAGAAAAGAAAAGAAAAAAGUAUUUGGAACCAAAGAAGAUAAGAAUUCUGUUCCAUUUGGUAGUUUAUUUUAAUUCUAAGAGCAACUCUUUGAGAGGAAGCUGGAGGAGAACAUCCAUGAUACGGAGAGGGAUCUGAAUGUAGAUGUUAUGAGAAGCAUCAUAGGAAGUAGAGCUGUUUAUAUUGUAGGAGAACUCCAAAAAGAAGAAUUUGUCUUUGCUUUGUUGUCUUCUGUCUGUUUUCAGAUCUCUUAUUGGGUCAGGGACAGUUGUCUUUUGCUGCUUUUGAAGGCAGUUCUAAUUAAUAGAGAAGCAGUUUUAAGGACUCUCCAAAGAUGAUUCUUGGAAGUGACACCUAGAGGCUUGUAUGAACACUGGGAAUUGAACUUCAGAAUCUCCUUGGGUGGAAUGAGUUGGAUUACAUGCACUCGAAGGUCACUUUUAUUCCUGAGAUUCUGUGAAGGUCUCGAUUGGCAAAUGAGUGUGCUACUUUACAUGUUCCCAUUUAAUCAUCACACCAACCCUCUGAGGCAUGUUAGAGAGGUAGAGUAGGUUUUCUAAGGUAAUGUCUAAUUAAUGGCAGAGCACACUCCCCCACACAUAUAGCUUAAUUCUCCUACAUUUGUAUAGCCCUUCCUUCUUUCCUUCGUUCCUUCGUUCCUUCCUUCCUUCCUUCCUUCCUUCCUUCCUUCCUUCCUUCCUUCCUUCCUUCCUUCCUUCCUUCCUUCCUUCCUUUCUGCAUCUGGCUGUGUUGGCCAGGUUGGUCUUGAACUCCUGGGCUCAAGCAGUCAUUCCACCUAAGCCUCCUAAAGUCCUGGGAUUGUAGGGGUGAGCCACCGAGCCCAACCUUUUUAUUUUUAUUUUUAGUUAAUUGAUUUAGUUUUGUACUUUAUUGUUUCUAGAAGCUUUUUACAAACAUGGUUUUAUUUGACCCUUAUAACAGUUUGGUUAGGAAUAAGAACAGAUUCACCAAUGUGUCUAAUUUAUAGGUGGAAAACAGGCUCAGAAGCUCUUUAGAAUAUCAUGAGAAGAAGGGAUGUGGGGAAUUAUUCAAUACAACUUCUGUAUUUUGCACUUCAAGAAACUGAGUACCAGAGUUAAAAAUCUGGACAUUUGGUGGAUGUUCUUAGAUUUGUGUUAAUGCAAGAGGGUUGGAUUAGAUGAUCUCACAGGGUAUGGGAAUGGAUGGUGUGUUCCCUGUAUCUACUGUGUAGUGUAAAGUUAAUUGAUACUAGCUCAACAUAUUAGAUUAAGUGGCAUUUUAGCAAACAUGAAUGAAAGGCACCAAAGGUUUAAGGGGGAAUUUAAAACAUUAGGUAGCAGCUUGUAGAGGAUAUAUUUAGGGUCAUGAUGUCCUUCUUGUUGGCCUUAAAAACACUUCCUGCGCCAGGUUCAAGGGUCAAUUGGGAACAGGAUCAACAGAGGAUGAGGGUUUUUUUUUGUUUGUUUUUGUAUCAUUUUAAGACAAGGUCUCACUCUGUUGCUCAGGCUGGAGUGCGGUGGUACAAUCCCAGCUCACUGCAGCCUCCGCCUCCCUGAGCUCAGAUGAUCCUUCCACCUCUGCCUCCUGGGUAGCUGGGACUGCAGGCACAUGUCACCAUGCCUGGCUAAUUUUUGUAUUUUUCGUAGAGAUGGGGUUUUGCCAUGUUGUCCAGGCUGGUCUUAAACUCCUGGGCUCAAGUGAUCUGCCCACCUCAGCCACCGAAAGUGCUGGGAUUAUAGGUGUCAACCGCCACACCCAACCAAAUGAGUUAUAAGUUUGUGAUCUGUUUUUAGCCUUUGUCCACAACUGUGGGAGUCACCAUUCACUCUGUGACAUAGGCUCUCAGAAUGAUGGCUCUCUUGACUGUGGCACUGAUCAUAGAUUUAGAAGCUCCAGUAUGGGAGGACCUUAAAAGUCUCCUAUCCCAAAUAGAUUAUUUUAAACUAACCCCAGUUCAAGUCCCUGGAUAACAUACCCAACAAAUGGUCUUUUAACUUCUGAGUAAGUUUACUUGGUAACUGGGGACUCCUCCUUGAGUUAGCUUGUCCCUUCUUUUGAGACCUCUUUACAACAUUGAGCCCCAAAAUGUUUUUCUAUAGCUUCAAUUCAUUCAGCAUAUUUGUAUUGUACCACUACUCAAGAACAUUGCUUUAUUCUCACUCCUGCAUAUUCAGCAUCUCUCCUCUCUGCUGUCAUUUGAGCUGCCAGGCACUGUGCUGGGUAGUGGGGAUAUGGAGAUGAAUUAGACACCAUCCCCGUCCUCAAGGAGUUCUCAGUCUAGUGAGAGAGAUCAACAUCUAUGUACACAUAUAAUUACAACAAUAUGGUAUGCUCUACAAUGGAGGUAUGUAUAAGAUACUCUGGAGUUCAAAGAGAAAUCAUUUUACAGAGUCUGGAGAUGACAGAGCUCAGAGUACCUGGUAUAUGAGUUGAGUCUUUAAAGAAGUAAAGUCACCUUUUGACUAGGUGAAAAACAGGGAAAGGCUUUCCAAGCAAAAGCAUGGACAUUGGAAGUAGUAUGAUGAGUUUGGGGAACUACAAAUAGUUCUCUAAAUUAGGUUGGAAAUGUAGGCCAGGAAUAGAACUUUAUAUGGUAUGCCAUGGGAUUUGGAUUUCAUUAUAAGUGUUUUCAGAAAGGGAUGCUUUUAGAUGAUCACUGGCAGUAGUGUGGGGUGUGUUCAGGAAUGUUUUCAAAUCUGGACAGGGAGAUGAGUUAGAAGGAUACUGUGGUGGCUAAGAUGAGAAAUGAUGUAGGGCUGAAAGGAGUGGGAGUGGCGAAGAGGGGAUAACCUCUUAGGAAGUUAUAAAAAUUUAGUCAUGCAUUGCUUAGCAAUGGGGAUAUGUUCUGAGAAGUGUAUUGUUAGGCGAUUUUGUCAUGUGAACUUCAUAGAGUAUAUUAACACAAACCUCUCUAAAUGGUAUAGCCUAUUACACACCUAGGCUACAAACCUGUACAGCAUAUGACUGUACUGAAUACUGUAGGCAAUUAUAACAGAAUGGUAAGUAUUUGUGUACCUAAACAUAUAUAAACAUAGAAAAGCUACAGUAAAAAUAUGAUAUGAUUUUGUGGUGGGACAACUGUGGGACAACUGUCAUAUAUGAGGUUCAUCAUUGUCCUAAACAUUGUUAGGCAGCACAUGACUGUAUAGACAUAAUAGAACUUAUAGGAAAAGUUAUAGAAAAACUUAUAGAAAAAGACCUUGAUGAAAAAUACUGUCAUAUUCUUUGGAUGAAUGUUGCAAUUAACUCCUUUUAGAUCAUAACUUGACUGUACAGAUUGUGCAAGAUUGUUUUCUGGGAACAGCUGUAUAUGAAAUGUUGAUUCUCAGGGAGACACCUAGACACCUGAAUUGCAGCAGACAUUUUAUGGUGUUGCUAAGUUGCUGGUCCUUCUCAUCAGUAGCAGGCCUACUCUCACUGUCACAUAUCUCCCACGGUUUUUUUUUUUUUUUUUUUUUUUUUUUUUGUAAUUAACCAAAAGUGAAGGCUUUUAUAUCAAAGACUCAAUUGAGGAAGCAGUGGCCUUAGUCAUUAUUGGCAUAAUUGCUUUAGUUUGCUUAUGGAUCUUAAAACGUUUAUGACUAUAUCUGCAAGUAAAAAAAAAAUUCAAUAAUUAAAAACCUAAACAUAUCGAGUGUUUAUUUUCUCUUUUUGCAAAGGUAUAUUCUAAACUCAAUGUUCUUCGGGAAAUUUUCCAAUUAAGGCUCUGAGUAUUGAUAUUUGGGAUUUAGAGAAUGGCUUUCUAUGACCAGAAUGGUUAGUGAUGAGAUUUUAUGUAAGUAGGACUGGGUUUUUCAGGGGGCCUUGUGUAACUUGCCAUCAAGAGUUGGGAAAGGAGGCCCUGAGCAGUGCAGCAGAGCUAUGUAAAGUGAGAGUUUGGGUCUUGGGACCAGGUAGCCUGGGCUCAAAUCUGCUCUCACACUUAGCAAUGUGGUCUUGAGCAUGAUUCUUCACUUCCCCAGGACUCUGUUUUCUCUUAUGUAAAAUAGGAAUAAUAUUUAUUUUCAAUGAUGGGGGUAAAAAGUACUUAAAGGGACUAAUUAUGUAAAUUGCUUAGAACAGGCCUGGAAUAUACAGCUAAAUGCUGUGUCAACUGUUGUUGCUGAUAAUGGUGUUGACUAUGACAAGUAUUAAAAGAAGAGAUUUGACUAGAGGUACUUAUAUUUUGAAUGAUCAGUGACGAUGUUAGGGUUGAGAAAGAAAAACAGUAACUGACUUGAAGGUUUUCAAUGGUAUGUAAGUGUGAGGUCAUUUCACCUUUUAUUUCUCUGCCAGGUAGAGUGGGAAACCAAAUUAAUCACUCCAUGAUCUAGUGACUAAUCUAUUGCCUUUGCUUUUAGUUCCAAAUAGAAAGCUGUUGAAAAGUUGUUGUAUUACACCUGCAUAAAGGUUAUCCUGAAAACAGAAAAAUGCAUUAGACUUUGUCAAAACUGGAUUUGAAACCUAAUUCAACUGCUUGCUGGCUGUGUGACUUAAACUUGUUGAACUUCAGUUUCUUCCUCUAAUAUAACUAUUAAUUUUCAGAGUUUCCAUGAAGAUAUUUGUAAAGUGUUUGUCAUAGGCACUCUAUACAUUAAUUACAGCUAUUAUUGUUAGAUCUUGGGACACCCAGCACGUGACAAAAACAACAGCAGACCCUGGUGCCUGGGAGGACUUCAUGGAUCCAGCAGCAACCUGGAGUGGUGCUCCUCUGAAGAAAUCCUACUCGGAUGGAUAUAAUACAACCUGCUAAGUGUCCUAGCACUUAGCAGGUUGUAUUAUCAUUGUCCGUGUCUAUGGCUCUCGUCUACCAGACUUUAAAUUCCUUAAGGGCAAGGACAGUGCCUUACUCAUCUUUGUAUUCACAGUGCCUAAUCCGGUGCACAUUGUAGGCCUCAUUAAAUGUUUGUUGAAUGAAAAAAUGAAUCAUCAACAGACAUUAAUUGGGCGCCUGCUCUGUGAUCUCCAUGGGCUCAGCUUGUCCCCGCCAGUUGCCAACAACGUCCAAGCUCUCUUCAGAAUGCUUACUCCUGAAGCUUAUUCCUGUCUUCUAAUUCUUUUGUUGAGGACUUUUCUGUGUAGUGCAAUGAUAGCAAAUACACUUCAUCUCAAGUACCAUCUCCAAUUGAUUGAUAAUGCCUGCCCUGAUUAUGUUUUAUAACAAGAUUCUGAAACCAGGUCUUAUCUCAGUGUGAAAGACAUUUAUAACUAUUUAGUGAUGUCUGCUGAGGGUCGGAGAAGGGGGAGUAGCAGCACAAGUGCCUCAUAUGUCAUAUUUGCUACUCUGUUUUCUAUGAAAUACUUCAUUUCUAUGCCUGCAUUUUGGUCUUAGCUACUUGCUGAUGUUGCAUGGCUGUUGCUGCUACUGUAAUUGCUGCUAAUUGCUCCCUGGGUUGGACCAGAGUGCUCAUUGUCUGAACAGAAACCUCAUCCUCACAGUCUGAGGUUUGCUCCUGUGGCUGAUAUUUAAAGUUUUCCCCUUUCAACUUUACUCCAGCUAUCCCCUUACCUGCACUGACAGGUAAUCCUCCACCGUCCUGUUCACCUCUCACCAGGUUCAUAUUUUCUUUAUCUUAUUUAUUGUACUUAAUCAUUAUUUUGUGAGAAGCUUUUCUGAUUGUAGAUGUGACAACCAGAAUACAAGUUAAAACCACUUAUCCAGCGCCUUACAGUGAAUCAUUUAACAUGAGAAAAAAAUUGAGUGUGUUUGCAGACCAUGGGGCAGAAGGAAUUGAGAAGGGAGUCAUUGUAGAUGUGAGAAAGAGAGAGAUGAUAAUAGAUGGAAGAUGAUCUUGAAAGAUGAUGCAGGUGAAGCUGGAAGGGUGAAAUUUAUGGCUCUAGAACACAUGCAGGUGGAGGGUUAGCCUUAGGUAAGUGGAACUACCUCUUUGCUGGAGCACAGAGAUAGGGAUAGGAGUAAGGAAGAGGACUUGGCAAGGGUGGUGAAGAUUUGUAAUUGUAGAGGUGGAUGAUGGGGAGGAAGCUGACCAGGAACAGGAAUAUGAAGACAAAAGCUGCUGGAACAGAAAUACUAGAGGGCUAAAUAUGAACCAGAGUCCCUAAGGAAUAUUCAGGCCAAAACGCUGGAGUGAGACCAUUAACAGGAGAGCUUAUGGUAUAUCAAAGUAAGAAAUGAGUUUGAAACUGGGUUAGAAGCUCAGGAAAAUAUGAAGUGGUUUUGGGGCAUUGUCACUAGCAGUAUUUGGUUGCCUUGAUUGAUUGAGGGGUGGACAGCUAGCAAGAGACGAGUUACACAGAAAUGGAUUUAAGAAUCCAAACUAAGGCCGGGCGCGGUGGCCCACACCUGUAAUCACAGCACUUUGGAAGGCCAAGGUGGGCAGGUCACCUGAGGUCAGGAGUUCGAGACCAGCCUGACCAACAUGGUGAAACCCUGUCUCUACUAAAAAUGCAAAAAUUAGCCAGGUGUGGUGGCACAUGCCUGUAAUCCCAGCUACUCAGGAGGCUGAGGCAGGAGAAUCACUUGAACCCAGGAGGCGGAGGUUGCAGUGAGCCGAGAUCCCACCCACUGUACUCCAGCCUGGGUAACAGAGUGAGACUUCAUUUAAAAAAAAAAAUCCAACCUGGACAUGGAAGGAAGUAAGGUCAGGAGUGGCCUCAGUCUGGGCCAAAAAGAGGCUUUAAUGUGAACAAGGUGAGUGCUGAGUAAUUGGAAAACUGGAGUGAUAGGACCUGUAAUCAGAGUAGACUUUGGAGUGUUAGAUUUCAAAACUGGAGUGGUUAAGAUACCUGUGAAGCUAGGAUGUCAGAUGAUCAUUUACAUGACUAUUAUAGUAACCCAGGAUUAUAGUAGAAGCUAGGCUUAGAAUGAACACUGGGCCAGGUACAAAAGGCUUCAGUGACUGUGAGGAAUGACUUGGAGGUUGGCACAUGUUAACUGCAAAUACUAGAGAAGAAAGGCUGUAGUGGGAUAGUAGAUGAGCCUUAGAAGAGUGGGGGGAUCCAGGUGAUUCCUUCUUUUAUUGAGUAUUUGCUCUAUGCCUGACACCUUGCUAUAUGCCAUCUGUUCCCUCUUUUGGGUCUGUCACACUUCAGGAGUGGGAGAAUGCGCAAGAAUUCCUGGUGAGAACAGCUAGGGGAGCUGUUGGCCUUUAGCACUGCUGGAAUCCUGUGGCCGUCUCCUAACUCUUUCAAAGAGCUGCAGGCUGGUCAGCUUGAAGUGGCAUAAAAAGAUUUAUUUAGGAUCUAAAUUUUUCCUUGAUCUUGACCUAAGUUAGUUACAUGUUACAAGCAUUUGUUGGCCAUGUUCCAUAAUGUACUUUGGCUUCUGAGCCUCUGAGUUGAAGAGUGAGCUAGUGCUGCUCUUAAAAAACAACAACAAAAACAAAAAACCAGUCAUAGUACACACAUGUUGAUUAACCGGAGCAAGACACAAUCCUAUUAAUUCAGCUUUUUAGGAUAAAGGGUAGACAAAAGAAAGCUCACAUCAAUAGGUGAGUAACAACUACUUUGUAAAAGCCACUCUAGGGUCAGAAUACAUCCAGUUUAGUGGUCCAUAUUGUAGAAUUUCCCUGUGCUGUUAGGGAAGAGGGCUGGCAAUUGAGGCACAGAGAUGGCCUUAAGGACAAGGAAGGUAAAGCUUAGGAGAAGAGAGUCUAUAAAACCUCUGACAUGGCAUGCAGACAUUUUUCUUUUGAGUACAUUUUACUGGGGAGAGGAUCCAUGUCUUUUAUAUUCUCCAAAUGACUCAAUAUUCCAAAAGAAGUUUAAGAACUACUGUGUUAAAGUGAUCAGGCCCUCAGACAACCCAUCCCCUCUUGUAG
rnacentral:lncRNA from 1 species